UUAAUCUCAUCAUUAGUUUUCAAUCAAAUCUUUCGUGUGAGGGAUUUGUUAUCAAGCUCAACUAUAUGAAAUGAAAAUAUUAAAGAUCUUACAUUAAAUUCCCUCAGCUAGAAAUAUUGAGAAAGUGAUUUUAGAAAAGAAAAAUCAAAGAGAAAAGUCUCUUUAUUGACAAUUAAUUAUCUACAUUCAUCUCCUAUUUCCCUAAACUCAAGCCUUCAAUCUCGGCGCUAGGCCCCAAGCAUUCGGCGACCCUAUAUACACAAUAAACUCUAUUGAUUUUCCUUAUUAAUAAGAACAACCAGAGUCUCAAACACAUAGACUGGUCUCUUUUUCAUGUUCGUUUCCUGUUUUUUGCUCCUUGAUCAUCUUUUUUUUGAUAACUUUGAUUCUUUAAUUUUUUUUUCUUUAUCAAGAAUGGAGGGGAGGAAACUGAAUUUGUAUUCUCCAUUACCAUCAAUAAGGCGAAUUUCAAGUAAAACAAAGCAUUCAAGUGAAUCAGAUAACAAGACAACAGUUAUUACCAGACCAGAGCGUCGAUCAUGCCUAAGAAUAGAACAAGAAACGCCGGUUUCUGUAUUACCAGACCAGAGCUUCGAUCAUCUCUCCGAACCAGCUUCAGUUCCUUUUAUGUGGGAACAAACCCCUGGAAAACCAAAAGAUAACAUGACUACACUGAUUCAAGAAUCAGGUUUACUAGAAACUGAUGAUGAAGAAGAAGAAGAAGAUUUGUAUACAGGUUCUUCUGAUGGAACCUUCUCCGUUAACUGCAGCACAAGUGGAGUGAGUGAGAUCGAAAAGAACGUUGAGAAAGCUGACGAUGCGUCGUCUAGAGAAAGUCUCGAUCAAAUGAUGGCAAGAUUCUUACCAGCUGCUAAAGCAAUGGCUUUCACACAUCAAAAACGCUCUUCAGAGCAAAAGCAAACCCUACAAAACAGAGAAGCACUUGCAAUUCGCCAAAGAAGUCAAGUAGUCGCAGAACAUGAGCAUUUCGCUAUUGUUCAGAGUCUUUAUGAUGAUUUAAACAUUGAUGAUGAUGACGACGAGGAUGAUGAGUAUGAUGUUGAUCACCGAAUCUACCCUGAAGUUACUAUCAAGAAGGCUUGUGGGUUCUUGCCAAGGCUUUGUGCCAAAAACUCAUUCAAGAUUUCAAACCCGGUUCCUUUGGUUUCAGGAUCAAACCGGGGUUUGUAUCAUUCUUGUGAACAAACCGGUUUACCAAACUUGUCAACUAGGCGUCUUUCCGGUUUUAUAUCUCCGUACCGAACCUCUUGUUCGGCUCCGGAGAAACCAGAGAGCUUCAAAAGGUUAAACAGAGGAAUCAGCAAGUCUCAAGAACUGUAUACACCAAGAACAAGAAGAGAGAGUCUUCCUAAUCACUCACAUUCUGGAGAAGUCCGAAUGUUUAGAAACUCCAUUUCAACUCCGUCGAGGAUCCAAGGGACGACCAUUCACGACACGAGGUUUCUUGCGGAGGAAGUAAUUAGAAGAAGAAGAAGCAGCAACAGGUCAGGGAACCUUUUGAAAACAUGGCCGGAAUGUACGGCGGCGAUUUCUACGCCACCCUUACCAGAAACUCCGACUCGGCCUUGGCUCCGACGAACACUCCUCCCGCCGGUAAGCCCUAGACCUUACGGCGUCGUGUUAGGUCAAGUUGGUGCUAAGAAACUGAGUCAAGAAAUUCUUGAAUCUACAAAAUGGGAAACGAUGGUUAAAACAUCUUAUGUUCACAACGACCACGUUCGUUAUUCUCAGGUAUUGAAUACUAUUUGAACAUUCUCCAUAGAAAAAUAAAAUUUAUAUAGAUAUGUGUAUUAGUGAACAUCUAAUUUAUAUAUAUUCGUUUUGUGAAAUUCAAUGCAGGAGCUGACUGUUCAUCCCUCUCGCCAGAAAAUUACAUAAAAACAGAGAAAUUACUUCUUCGUUUUUACUUUACAAUUAUAUUAAUAAAUAGCUUAAAUUUCUGCCUCUUAUUUUUCAUGAUGCAGGCAACACGAAUUUACCUGAGAUUGAUUUUUUUUUUUUUGUUAUAUAUUUGUGUGUGUGUGUGUUUUAUGAUUGUUGGCUUUGUUUUUCUGACCACGUGUUUUGUAAUUGAAGACCUAAAUGUUCUUGAUGUUUGAUAAAACAUAGAUAAACCGGUUAUAACUAAUACGGCUAGGCCGGGACAGUUACACAACAUAACAAGGCUGGUUCAUAAUAUUGAAGUAUGUAAUAUGUAUCAUCUACAAUAAAAUUUUCGGUUAGUUUCAAAAAAAAAAAAAUCGGUUUAUGAUCAAUUUAACAGCGUUUUUUAUCAGUUGAUUAAAAAUAAUAAAAAGAAUGACGAUAUUAAAGUUAAAUUUAGAGUUCAAUUUCUGUAAUAUCAUAUACAGUAGAACCUCUAUAAAUUAAUAAUGUUGGGACUUUGAAAUUUUAUUAAUUUAUAGAGAUAUUAACUUACAAAAAUUUCCUUAUUUAGAUUUCUUAUUUUAAGAUAUAUUUAUCCUAAGAUGAGAAAAAUAUUUGAUUUUAGUGUAUAGACAUUAAUUGUUAUUUUUUUUUGAAAUUUGAUAUUUAUAUUAAUUUUAUUAUAUUAUUUGGUGAAUAUAAUAUAUAUUGUAUUGCAUAGAACUUAAAUGUGGUUUUAGAUAGAAUAAUACAAAAUCUCAUCAAAAUAUAUUAAGUGUUAAAAAAAUAUAAAGAUAAUUUCAUUGUGAAUAUAAAACAAACCAUAUAAUAAUAGGUUCUUACUUAUAUAAAAUAUGUAUACAUAUAAAUUAUUAAUUUAUAAUUUUAAUGGGACCAUAUAUUUACAUAGAAUUUUUUUAAAAAUUAUUAUCUUACUAUUUUAUCGAUUUGUAUCAAAUUUUGAACCGAUCCAAGUUGGGACCGGCGAAAUUUAUUAAUUUAUAAAAAUUAUUAAUUUAUCUAAUAUUAAUUUAUAAAUGUUCUACCGUAUGUUGGAUACUACUUUUUGGGCUACACAUUUGAUUUUGACGGUCAAAAAUACAUUUGAAAAAUAAGAAGUUAUGGGGAGGCAUGUAGUGCAUGCACAUCAAUUGAAAUAUAUUUACGACGGUGCUCCUUUUUCACACGAUUUGAAAUCAUUAUAGCAACUCCAAUGGUAGUAUUUUACCAUAAAAUUCUUAAAUUAUAUAUUUUAUCCGUUUUAUUUUAAUUGUCGUUUUAGAUUUGAGUACAUAAAUUAAAAAAAUAUAUUUAAUUUUGUGUAUUUCUAAAAUAAAACAUCAUUGAAACGAAAAUUUUGAAACAUAAAGUUUGCAUUGGGAUUAUAAAACAACAAUUAUUUUGAAACGAAAAUUUUACUGUACAACGAUGGUUAAACUGAAACGAAGAAAGUAUUUAUAUAUAUAUAUAUAUAUUAUAUAUUAUUUAAUUAAGAAUAUAUUCAAAUAUUUGGAAACCCAACCAAUAAUAUCUAAUUUGGAUACUAUUUGUUGGGUUUUCAAGAAUUUUAGUAUGCUUAUAUAUACAUACAUAAAUAUAUAAUUGAAGAAUUCCAUAGUAAGAUAUUUACCAUUGUUGUUGCUUUUAGAGCAAUCUCGACAGUGGACUCCUNNNNNNNNNNNNNNNNNNNNNNNNNNNNNNNNNNNNNNNNNNNNNNNNNNNNNNNNNNNNNNNNNNNNNNNNNNNNNNNNNNNNNNNNNNNNNNNNNNNNNNNNNNNNNNNNNNNNNNNNNNNNNNNNNNNNNNNNNNNNNNNNNNNNNNNNNNNNNNNNNNNNNNNNNNNNNNNNNNNNNNNNNNNNNNNNNNNNNNNNNNNNNNNNNNNNNNNNNNNNNNNNNNNNNNNNNNNNNNNNNNNNNNNNNNNNNNNNNNNNNNNNNNNNNNNNNNNNNNNNNNNNNNNNNNNNNNNNNNNNNNNNNNNNNNNNNNNNNNNNNNNNNNNNNNNNNNNNNNNNNNNNNNNNNNNNNNNNNNNNNNNNNNNNNNNNNNNNNNNNNNNNNNNNNNNNNNNNNNNNNNNNNNNNNNCGAUCUGAAUGUGGUUUCUUUGUAUUAAGUUCUUGAAAACGAUAUAUAUAUAUAUAUAUUUGGAAAAUCGGUGAGAAUUCACCAUUAGAAGUGCUCUAAUUAGACACCAUUACAUCAAACAUAAUAAUAUCGAACGAUGAUAAAUAUUUAUUAUUUUAUUAAAAGCCCUACACUACUAGGUCUAUUAGCAAAGUAGAGCAUGAUUAUUUGGAAGUUCUUAGGGUGAAGUUCUUAACGGAAUAUAAGAAUCCGUUUUUUAAUUUUUAACUAAAAAAAUUAAGAACCGGCUCUUAAAUAAGAUAUUUAAGAGCUAGUUCUUAAUUUUUUUAGUUAAAAGUUAAGAGACAUGUUUUUAUAUUUCGCUAAGAACUUCACCAUAAUAACGUCUAAUAAUGUCUCAGGUCCUACUUUUUUUGUACUGUCGAAAUCCAACUUCUUCUUAAUUAUAAUUACUUUAAAUAUUUACACAGUAUAAGGAUCUGUGAUUUAAUUUGAAGAAUUAAACAUCUAUAAUUAUGAAAAUGUGAAAACUAUAAGAAAAUUACUAGGGAUUAGAGCAUAAUUAGUGAUGGUUUCCGAAGAAAAAUUUCUCAGAAAAAUAAUUACAAUAUUAAAAAGUAAGAAAGAGAAAGACUAAAAAUUGAGGUACGUUUCUUUAUGGCGAAUCGAUGAUGAAAUGGGAAGAAAUGGUUUCUAUGGCCGUCUAUAUUUUACUGGUGUUUUUGUUUUCUAACUAUUAAAUUUAAAUCAGAUAGAUAAAUUAAACUAAAAUAGUAAUAUACAUACUUAUGAAUCCGUGUCGGAGAGAUUGAACCGUUGAUGAUACUCUUAGGGGUUGAAGAAAUUAGAAAUUUAUAUUCCAAAAAAGUUCUUCAGAAAAAAGAAAUUUCUGGAGAGAGAGGGGGAAGAAAAAGAAGAGGCAGGAGAGGCAGAGCCGUGCUUACCCAUCUGAAAAAAAGGCAAUGGCCUCAGGCCUCUUAUAUAAACAUCAAAUCUUAGGCCCCGUUUUUACAAAAAAAAAUUGAUUAGCUUAUGUUUUAGAGGUUUUACUUAGAAAUAUUUGUAUUUAUUUUAUAUAAGUAAUUUCCCUACCUAUUUUUUUGAGAAAUUGCACUCUACACAUACACAUUAUAGCUUAUUUAGCAAUAUGCACAUUUAGAAUUGACAUUGUUUUCAUCGAAUUUUAUCGGACCAUUAUAUCCCUAUGCUAUUUCAUGAGUAAGCUAUAGUUUGCCUUAUUACAAUAAUGAAAUUUAUGUUUACGUGUAAAAAUCCUGCAAAAAGAUUUUGAAAAGAAUAAUAAUAAUAAAGCCAAUUAUCCCAAAGAGUAAAGUAGAUUUCUUGCAACUGAAAGUACUUUUCUUGAGAUUCUCUCUUUGGUUUCUUCUCAGUCUAAUCGAAAACAUCAUUCUUCGAUAUUCAUUUACUGAAGUUUUGAGUGAAGAAAAACCCUAGAAAUAAGUACAAUUUUUCUUUAAUAGGUUGAAAAUCUAUGGUUGUUGAGUCCUCGCCGCCUUCUGCGACAGACUUCGCUUUCUCCACGGUUUCGCUUUCAUCCGACUGACUAGGAAGUCGUAAGCUAUAACUUGAAGAUAAACGUUCUGGGUAAACCCGUACACUUCGAUGCAAUUGGGGAGGUUGAUAUCUACAAGCAUGAGCCUUGGGACUUAGAAGGUUUGUUGGGUUUCUUUGUCUCUUUUUUUUGUUUACGUAUAUGUAUGAUUUGGUUUCUCUGGUAGACCUGUGAGUUUGUUUCUUCUGAUUUUGGAUUCUUUGCGGUUUGGUCUCUUGACUCAAUUCUGGGAAAAGAGCUUAGCUUUAUGGACUGAAUUCCUUUUCUGGAGAAGUUUCGUUAAAGAUUUACCCUUUUGCUAUGUUUAGACUAUAAAACUUUGACGUAAAUUGACUUAUUAAUUGUAUAAAUCUAGUAAUUUUUGGCAGAUUCCUUAAGAGUUUCUUGCUAUGUUUGCUUGUGUUUCAGGGAAUGAAGCUUUGUUGCUUUGUGGUUAGCCAUUACUCUGAGGUUCAUUCCAAUUCUAGUCUAUUGAUUGCUUUUUCAAUUAUAUUGAUCUAAGAACUGUUUUCUUUGUUGUUACUUCGUGUUAGUGUUAAUAACAAUUUGACUUGAAUAGCAGAUAAUUGUUACAAACAUUAAAUCAGUUUUUCGGAUAGUUUGUCAACAUUACACGGCAAUUAGAAUGUUAACCAUCUCCAGCAUUACUUGACCAUAUUGCCGUUGUAGCUGGGGUAUCAAAAUUAUUGUCUAGAUAAUAUUAUAUUUACCAUUUAGCAAUACAGAAAAGAAUUACUUUUCAGGAACAAAUUCCAUCAAUAUAGUCCUGCUUAAUUGUUAAUUGCAUAUUUUGUCUGAAAAUAAGAACAUGUUUUUCGUUUCGCAAAAUGUUGUUGAAGCUUUUGAUGAAAUGGAUAGUCUCGUUAGAAUGCAUCCUUGUCUCUUUCAAUCUCCAUUAGCUACAAACAUUCUUUAAAACACUUUUAAAAGGCUCACCUAUGAUCUCUGCACAAAGAAUGUGGUUUCUUUGUAUUAAGUUCUUGAAAACGAUAGGUGUAGCUUAUGCUUCAGCUGUUUAGUUAUCUCGAGAGUGGGUGUUGUGAUUUGCUCGGAGAUCAUGGUCUCAACCAUUUUCUUCUGGUAUGUUGAAUCUUUUAAGCUAGCUCAUCAAGAGAUUGCAAUGUGUGAAUUGUCGUUUUUUUGUGUUAGAUACCAUCACCACAUAGAGACGAAGAUGAUCAAGAAAGGAAUGUGUAUUUUUAUAACACGAAGUGUGUCUUUAAAGGCAUACAUUAUUAGCUCAAAAGUAGUAACUGAGGAAGAGCUUUAAAUCACUCUUCGAGCUGCAAAGGAAGGAAUAUAUUCGCUCCAACGGAAUUUAGAUGCAUCAAGCGAUUUGUAUUUAUGUGUUAAAAUUUUGAUUAAUUUUCUAAAAAGUUGUUUAGCGCGAUAAACAAAUAGUUGAAAGUCACUUACAGAUUUAUUCUAGACAAUAAAAGUUUUAGCCAGAUAUUAUCUACAUAUAAAUUCCAAAUGAAGUUUAAAAUUCAUUGUUAGAUUGCUAACAUAUUUAAUAACAUAAAGAACUAUUGUUAGAUGUCUAACCAUUAUAAUAGCAAUAACAAUUUGUUCAUAUUUUUAAAUGUAUCUUUGAAUUAUUUGUGAGCAUUUUUUGUUAGCUUGCUAACAUAUCUAACAACAUAUAACAAUUUGAUUGUAUUUUUAUAAGCAUUUUUGAAUUAGUUUUUGAUUUUUUUUUGUUAAAUGGCUAAUAUAUCCAAUAACAUAUAACAAUUUAUUUUAUCUUAUUUAAAUUUUGAAUUUUUUUAAGUUGCACACAUUCAAGAUUAAUAACAAGUAUUAUAUAGAAGUAUUGUCAACAAUGAACAAUAUAUUACAAUCAAACACUUUUUUUUUUUGGCAUCUACAAUCAAACACUUUAUAUGAUUGCCAAAUCAAGGUUAGACUCCUAACAUUUAUAAUAAUUAUUAGCUAAUAACAAAUAAUUUAUUAGUGAAAGGUAAUGUUUAGUUGUAAUAGAAUAACACGUUCUAUUGGAUAUAACAAUCUGAAAUAUAUUGAUUUUGUAAACUUGAACAAACUGAUUUAACUCGGUAUGGUGAGAAAACCCAAAUCCACCUCACUUAGUAAACUCUUGUUUGCUGAAAUACAAUGGACAAUGUAUACUGCCAAUGGUUACACUGUCAACAUCCUGUAUAUUAAAACAGAAGUCACAACCUUGAUUCAUCUGUGAUUUUUUUUUAAAUAGACCCAAUAGACCUAUUACUGUAAAAUCAUGUUACAUUUAAUAUAUAAUCUUAUCAUUUAAAUUUUGGGCCAACCAGAAAUUUUUAUUGGGCUAUUGAUUUAAACAAUAGAUGAUCUAUUGGAUUUUUAGAUAGUAUAAAUUAAAUAUAUAUAAUUUAAUGUUGUAAUACUAUACCUCCAUAUGUUAAAUAUUUAAAUAUUUGUCGAUGUUAACUUUUAAAAUUAUAAAGAUUUUUAAAUAACAAAAAUCAUAUUAUCUAACAAUGAUUAAUCUUUACUACUUUAAACCAAUGAAAACAAAUUUUAAACUAUAUAGUUUAUUUUAAAAAUGAAACAAAAACUAAAUGUUCAAUUAUUUACUCGAUAAUAUAAAUCUAUGAAGCGAAAAGUUUAAUUUUUUAAAAGCUUUCUAUAUUUGUGAAAUGUUACAAUAUCUUUGAACAUGACAAUAAAAUAAUAUUUUACUAAUCUUUAUAUAUAUAGUUACGAUUUUAAUAAUGAAAUAAUAAUCUGAAAAUAUAUAUAUAGAAGAAGAUACAAAUACAUGUGAAAGUUUGAAACAAUCUAUUCAAUAAAAAAAAUAUACCGUAAACUUAUUAUGUUUUAAAAAUUGAUAGACACAUAUAUAUAUAUAUUAUAAUAUAUACCAAUUUAGAAUCGAAAACAAAAUAUUUAUAUAAAAAUAAAUGAAAACAAAAAUCCGUGCGGUUGCACGGAUCGAGAUCUAGUUAUAUAUUAAAAGAUAAAUAAAUAUUUAACAGGUCAAUAAAUUAUAAGACACGUUAAAUAUAAAAGAGGUCAUUUUUUAUUUGUUAUAACAUAGCGAGAUAUCCAUAACUCCUACACACCUUCGAGCUGAGAAAAGCAGUGCUAGUAUUAUACAUAAGACAAAUAUUUCAGUAUCAAAUUUAAUCAUAUUUACAUAUAAUUUUUUCAGUUCGCCUUAGGCCCCUAAAUACGUAGACACGACACUGAGGAGAGAGAAUGCAACACCACCAUUUGGUUCUGUAGAGACAAAAACGGUGGAAGAAAGAAAACUCGGAGAUUAUUCGGUUAGAUUUGGAUUUAAUUACGAGUUUUCAACUUAAAACCAAUUGGUGAUUAGUGGAUUGCCCGUAACCCUUUAUAUAUUACUUAACGUUCUUUAGAAUUUCCGAUGUGGGAUAUAUAUCCUAAUACUCCUCAUCGAGAUGAUGACUCUUAUUGACCAAAAAUCUCGGAACUUUAAGACAUUUGUACCUGAUCGGAAGGGUUAAUAUUAAUUAGGAGUUUGAAUAUUUAGGAUCUAGACGCUGAUACCAUGUUAGAUUUGGGUUUAAUUAUGGGCUUAUAACUUAAAACCAAUCGGUGAUUAAUGGAUUGCUGCCAGUAACCAUUUAUAUAUUACUUGAUAUAUAUCCCUAAUAUAGUCUGCAAAAGCAUUAUCUUGCCCUACCUGUGUUUUUGGUUUCUUCAUUCUCAAGAAACAUAACAAAACUCAUUAUAAGUAAAUUCCUUUUCACAGUAAGUUUUCUUUUUGGUAAAAAUUGCACAGUAAGUUUAUCUAAAUCUUCCCGUCAUUUGUUUGAUUCUUUUACGUAAUUUGCAAUAUUCUUCAAUUAAAGAGGAAAUAGGAUUUUCUAUACAUUGCUUGUUCGAGAAGGUAUCCCUUUUUAUGAUUUUUCAUCUAAAUUUUGUUUCUUUAAUCUUUGUGUCUUGUCAGGUAUUAAGAACCAACGACUUGUAUAGUGGAUUCUACUACGACUACUACUACUACUACUACUACUCUUGCGUCCUCUUCUUGAUCAUUAGCCUUGAAGCUCCUCUCUCGUUUUCUAUCAAUACCCAAGUCUAUGGUCAGUUUUUUAAUAAUUCAUCUUCUUCUUCUUUUCAAGAUUUGUUUAGGGUUUUGGUUCUUUAAUUUAGGAUUCGCAUUGUUGAAAUUCCGGGUAAGAAUGAACUCGGAUCCUCAUGGAACUCUUUCAAAUUGGAAUGUUUCUGGUAGUGAUCUCUGUUCCUGGUCAAGGGUAACAUGUGUUGAAGGUGAAGUGCACAUUCUGUAAGAUCCUUUCUUCCACAAAUCCACCAAAUGUGAGAUAAUUAAUGUAUUUUAAUGUUGUGAAAAUGUUUUGUUAUCUCUACAUGUAUUUAUAGGGAUCUUAAUUAGCGGAUGUUCUUUGGAAGGAAUGUUAGCUCCUGAGCUUAGGCAAUUGAGUGAACUAAGAUCUCUGUAAGGAUAUCCUUGAUGGUCAAACUCCAAUAUUUAUCGACUAUUGGUUGGUUGAUGGACUAAACCACAUCUUGUUCUUAUAGAAUACUCUUCAGGAGCCAUUUCUCUGGAGAGAUUCCAAAGGAGUAUGGGAGUUCCGGAAAACUUAAGUCUUGGAUUUCAGGAUUUGAGAGAAUGAUUUGAGCGGCACAAUUUCACCCGAGCUAAGCAAUGUCUUGUCGCCAAAACACUUGUGAGUUUAAUUGCUGUGUAUAUCUUGAGCAAAAAAAUUCCUACUCCAUAAAAAUGUUUGGCGGUUCAUUUUACUAUCUACAAACAGAUAUUAAAAACGAAUUUUGACAAAAGGUUGUUUAGUUAGAAAUCAUCUUUUUUUUCUCUCUUCUUAGUGCUAGAGUUGUCAAGGCUCAAAGUUACAUUUUGGUUAGUGAGUUUAUCAUCCAGCUAAUUUCCCGUAUUCUAAACAAAAUAUAUAUUACUUGCUAACCAUUAUUUACGGAACUCCAACACGAGAAGAUAUUUUAUAUCUUAAGUUUAUAUUUCAAUUUGAUAUAUACGUCCAAAAUUGUUGUCAGGCAAGUGCUAGCACAUUCAUCCGAGUUCUUUUGUCCGUUUCCGUCUUAAAAGGAAAGAUCCACAAACCAAGAGAGAAGCAUUCAAUUUUAAUAAAGGUUAAACUAGAUUUCGCAUAAAGCUAAUUCUUAUCUUGAUAACACGUACCCGCCGUAUCUGCAUGUUAUUAUAAUUAGAGUUUUUAACUUAACGCACAUAUAUUAUACAAAUAUUAUUAAAGGGUAAACAUACAUGCACCAAUCCGAUGUAUAUAAGGCCAUCGAGUAACGUUUAAUAAACUUCACGAACUAACCAACGAAGAGAGAUGGCGAGUGGUAGUUCUUCGAUUUGUGGGAUUGGGCACCUUCAAAAAGAAUGUUACUAUGAGUGGAUGCGUACACAAUCCAAACACAUCGUUGAUCUCAAAGAAGUGCUCAUGAGCCAACGAUCCAACGCCUACGAUCAUCACAAACUUGAAGAACUCGUUGGUAGAAUCGUCAACGACUUCCAAAACUACGCCGACAAACGAUCCGAGCUGGCCGACCGAAGCUGCUCUAGCUACUUUGCACCAUCGUGGAACUCUUCUCUAGAGAAUGGUCUUCUAUGGAUGGGAGGGUGUCGUCCUUCAUCGUUCAUGAGAAUCAUAUACGCUCUAUGUGGUUCCCAUGCAGAAACUCAGCUUUCUCAGUAUCUCCUCAAGAUGGAUGGAGAAGUCGUUGAUGGGCAUGACGGUGAUAGUUCCAUGAGCGAACUAAACGCGACGCAGCUUGCGAAAAUCAAUGACUUGCAUGUGGAGGUGAUAGAUAAAGAAGAUAAGUUAUCGAAGCUUUCCGCGAAUAUGCAAGAGGAUGUUGCUGAUAUGCCAAUAGCCGUCACGGCUUUCUCGAGGGACUCGGUUGAAGCUGACGUGGCUGUUGAAGACGCUUUAGAUAAGCAUGAAGAGGGCAUGGCGGUUUUAAUAGCGGAUGCUGAUAAGCUGAGGCUAGAGACACUUAAGAAGAUCGUGGAGGUUUUGACGCCGGUUCAAGCGGCGGAGGUUUUGCUCUCCGGGAAAAGAUUACACGUNNNNNNNNNNNNNNNNNNNNNNNNNNNNNNNNNNNNNNNNNNNNNNNNNNNNNNNNNNNNNNNNNNNNNNNNNNNNNNNNNNNNNNNNNNNGAGCGUCGUUUUGGGUGUGCACGUGCGGAGGAUGCUGCCGCUGCUAGAGGUGGAGCUGGAAAGUCGAAGAGAUCAGCCACUUGUUGAUGUAUAUAUGCGUGCGAGUCUUGUAAGGUUUAAUAUAUAAUCGUGUAAUAUUUUGGUCUAAGUAGACAUGAGAUCAUCUUAAGCAUCUUUAUAUAUUUAUCUUGUGCAAUAUUUUGGUCUAAGCAAGCAUGAGGUCAUCUUAAGCGUCUUUAUAUGAAAUGUUGUAUAAUAUUUUGGUCUAAGUAGACAUGAGAUCAUGUUAAGUGUCUUUAUGUGUGUGUGUGGGAGAGAGACGUAGUUACGAGACGCAUAAGCUUUUGCAUUUUGUCUUAUAUAAAGAAUAACAAAAGCUGUAAAACGUCAAGAGACGACUCUCUUAGUUAUGAAUACACAAAUAAGUUAUGAAUCUAAACCAGAGCUGUAACACCCCAAAACCAGCCCAAUUAAAUUUUUAAAAGCUAAUGGGUUCUCUACAGCCCAACUAGAAAACCCUAGGGUUCUUCCUUUCCCCACAUUAUAAAAGCAAGCCCUCACCUCCUUUACCUCUCAUCAGAAGUUUAGAAGCGAAGCCCUCCAGAGAAUUCCCGGAGACUGAAAGCUCUAGCCGUCGACUUUCUCUCUCUCUCCGCGCCGCCUCUCUCUUCCUUCUCUCCCUUCGCCGCGUCUCUCCUCUCUCUAUCUCUCUUCGCCGCGCCUCCUUCUCUCUCUCUCGGCCGCAUCUCUCUCUCCUCGCCGUGAACAGCCGCGAGUGGUGAUGGUGGCCGCGUGGUGUCAUAGACCUCAGAUCCCGUUUCUCUUACCCUCUAUUCUCAGAUCCAAAUCCAGAUCUAGGCUAAAGUGAGGUGUUCUACCCAGAUCUCUUCCAUGCUCUUUUAUAUUGUUGAAUGGGUUGCUAGGAUUGAUUAGAUCCUGUUUGUUUUUAGGAUGAUAGAUCAUAUUACAUCAGGACUCUCAUACUGAAUAAGAACUUUACACGAACGGGUUUAAUGAUGAUUGAUGAUUGACUGAUUGUUUGACUGGUUGAAGAUCUGUGGUUUGUGAUUGAGAGCUAGGAUGGUUAGAAAGAAAUGAACGUAGGAUCAUAAGAGAAAUGUUAACCGGUCUGGUUAGAUGAAUGAUAAGAUAUCUAUGAAUGAUUGUUAAAUGGAUUGAGUGUGACACCGAGAACGGGUGACGUCUAAAAAGGAAAGUAAGAAAGAGUCUAAGGGUUAAGGAAAAAGGAAAUAAAAAAAAAAGAAAAAGUUAAAUGAUUGAAAUACGAACCACCGAGGAACUGGUGGGGAGUAUGAGAAAUGAAUAGAAAUGGAAUACGAACCACCGAGGGACUAGUGGGGAGUAUGGGAAAACGCGGCGGCCGUAGCGUUCAAAAACGGCAGGUUAAGAAUAGAGGCGCCGGUAAGAUUGAGUCACGCCGAGUCUUGGCGGGAAGGGGCCGUAAUACACUGCAAAGGGUAUAAACUACAUCCAAGGGAACCGGAUGCCGAGUGUACCAGGGCAGGCGGCUCCACAGGAACGCAGCAAGAAAAGGGGAGGGUUGGUCCGCUUGAGCUGUGUAGGUCCUAGAGUUCUAGGAUGACUGGAGUCUUAAAUAAUAAACCGAAUUGGGUGAAUUGAGUGAUGACUGAGUUCAUUGCAUUGCUUGUUUUUCGUGAAAUGAAACUUUAAUAGCUAGUUAAGAAAUGGGUGUAGUGACUAGUCGGUUCUCGUUUCUCAUUGAGCAGUAUAAAAGCUCAUGGGGGAGACUGGUCUAGAAUCGCUUCACUGAGUAUUCAUACUCACCCCUCUUUUUUCCUCUUCCUUUUUGCAGAACUAUAAGUGGAAAUGUCAAUGGUAAGAAAGGAAACACACCUGAAACUCAUGGGACCAGAAACAGGACACACGGAGAUGUCGGGAAAGUAGACAUGUGUGUCCUAAACCCCGCGCCCAGGAACCCCGGUUGGAAAUGGGGAAGGGGCGGGUGUUUCAAGAGCCGUGCUCACCAUAGUAAAAAAAAAGGCAAUCGCCUCAAGCCUCCCAUUUUUCAUCAAUAUUUGCGACCCCAUACAAAAUACAGUAGUGGUUUAUAAAGUAUAAGGAGUGAGUUACAGGUUGCUCAAAAAGAAGAAGAGUGUAUAUAUAUAUAUAUUUAUAAAGAGCUUGUUGUCUAUAUAUUUUGUUCUCUGCAUUUGAGUUUGAUCUACAAUUUCAAUUACUUUUAGAAAUUUUUUUAUGAAAACCUAUUUGUUUUAAAAAUAAUUAGCCUUAGGGCAUCUUUAUUGGUGAGACGAAGAGAGAGGGAGAGAGAGUUCCUUGUCUUGCUUUUUUUUUUUUUUUUUUUUUUUUUUUUUUUUUUAAGGGAANNNNNNNNNNNNNNNNNNNNNNNNNNNNNNNNUUUUUUCUUUUUUUUUUUUUUUUUUUUUAUUUGAUCAUUGAAGAGUAAGGGACAGCCCUUAAUUAAGGGCUUUUCCCUUCUCUUUCUUCUUCGGUUCCCACCCUUUUCCCCUAAGGGAUGCCUUAAGGGACUGCCAAUACAGAUGCCCUUAGGCCCCAAAAAGUAUAGGCACGGCACUGAUCUAAACGUCAAGAUUAAUUUUGUUUUUUUCUUUGCAAACGUUAAUUUUUUUGCUUUCUUAUUAAAUUAUUAAAUUAAAAUCUGAUUUUUAGAUGUCACCCAUGUUCGAAACUACGCUAGGCGCUAGUCGGGCAGCAACUCCGGACCUAGCGAAUUACCGAAAAAUCGGAGAUUAAGCGGGGUAUACGCGAAGCUUAGUUUUUAUAUAAUUUUAUUUAAUUUAAUAUUAAAAUUAGAUAUGAUGUAAAUAUAAUAUAUAUUUCUGUAUAUUAAAUUUAUACUACUAUCUAUCUCUAACAAAAUCCAUUAUUAAAAAUAUAUAUACAUAUGAUACAGCUGUGAAUAUUAAACAGACUUCACCAUCAAAAAUAUUAUAAUAUUAUGUAAUUUCACUACAACCUUUCAUCUAAGAUAGUAUUAAAAUGUUUAUUUCAUGGAGGGAAAGUGAACUAGUAGUAAGUUUGACAUAUUUUAAAUUUGUUUUGUCUCAAAAAUCCCAACAAGAAAUAAGAAAUUAAAAAUGCAAAAAUCUAAGAAUUGACAAUAUCCCACAUCGGAAAGAACGAACAAAAGUUACUCGGCAAGUACUCUAUAAAUAUACAUAUUUAUCUGUUGCUCGAAUGUGUUAGUGGGCUUUGAAAGCCCAAAACUUUCCAAUAAUUUAAAAUUUACACGGAAAAAAUCGAUUAAAAAUCGGUUUUGGUCCGGUUUAUUAUGCUAGGCGGCCGAUUUUAUGUGGGGCCGAUUUAGUAUUGGUCUAAAGCGACACAGUUCUUUUGCGUCGAGCGCCUAGGCGGCCGCCUAGCCGCAUUUUUGAACAGGGAUAUUGUCACGAGCAUACUACCUCCAAGGCUCCAACGAUAAUAAUGACCAACUUUAACAAUUAAUAGCCGCAUUUUUGAACAGGGAUAUUGUCACGAGCAUACUACCUCCAAGGCUCCAACGAUAAUAAUGACCAACUUUAACAAUUAUUUCGAAAAAUAUAUUUGAAUUUUGAAAUAUUUAACUAAAUACGUAAAAGACCUAAAGUAAAGAAAUACUGCAACAACAGUGUACCUCGGCAAUUGGUAUUUUAUGGAAAUUAAAGGUGGCUCGCUAUUGUGAUUAUGACAUUCCAAUAUUUCUUUUCUAUAUAUAUUCCGUAUCCAAAGUAGAAAACAGGCAUGUACAUCGGAUAUACAAAAUGGGUAAAAAGAUAGAGAUAUUUAUGAAUCAAACAAACCAAAGACUCGAAGGUUCAAAGAUGACAUAUGUACAUUUUCUGGAGUUAAGUAAAGUGACAACGUGCCAACUACAUCAACUUGUUACUUGUUCUCAGCACGUCAGCAAGAUCACUAGUGCAAAAGAUCUAACUCGGUUGAUAUUUAUAUAUAUGACAUAUCAGAGACAUUUUUUAUCCAUGGCUAAACCAAGUGAAACAUUAGCUUAUAACCUAUAAAACUAUUUAAAAUUACUUUUAAAAAUUAUUAAAACUUUCACUAAAUCGUCUAGCCCCCAAUAUUUUGGGGACAUGUCAUGUUUUUAUCACAUUGUUAUUCAUCAAAGAUGCGUUGUUCAGUUACCACUAUUGUUACAAUUAUUAUUUAUGCAAUUUUUUAAAAAAUCUUAUAAGAAAUAAAUAAAAAUAAAUGUGCUUUAAUGGGGACAUCUGGUUUGUUCUGGUAAAUUGGGUCACCACUCACGCCAUUUGCAAUAACCAUUGUUCCGUGAAGAAAAGACAAGGCAGAUUCGAAUUUCUGGCUAUAAAUAUGAUAAUUUCUGUUUCUUAUUUCCCAACAAGUUACAAGUCAUUUUUUUUUUAACUUUUCGGUGGGCACAACCAGGUUGAUACGAGUAUUGCCGUAUUUCAUUUUUUUUUUCUCAAACAAUAGAAGUAAAAGAAAACAGAUUAGGCUGAUUAUCAUUAAGCACAUUCAGACAAAAGCUCCAAAAGAACUUACCAGUUAGUUAUAUCAUCAAUGCAUCAUCAUUCAAAUCAACUUCACAAAUAUAUAUGCUUUACUACACUCGCAUGUAGAAUCGAACAAGCUUAGCCACAUCAAGGAAAACACUUUUUUUCUGGUAUGUGAUUGUCAAAUCAAAUCAUAAAAAUAUAACAAUCUCCUAAAAGAGAAAAACCUAGACAAACUGCUUUCAACUCGAAACUAACUUGUUUCACACAAUGACCAACACUUCACAUGGUUCCUCUCAAUUUCUUUACCCACAAAUAGUUAAAACUCCUUCCACAAAGCUUCUCUAUCUUAAUUUCCGCCACAAAAUAUUUAAGAAUCAAGAAAAAAUAUAUUUUCUUUUUGUCUCAUUGUAAGCAAAUAAACAACAAACCAGAAACAAAAACAAAAUUUCACAGACAAAACCAGUAUCAAGCUUCAAGCAACAGAAAGAGGAUUCUUGAGAAGAAGAAAGUAAAGUUUCUUUAUUUGAUUUAGCUGUUUUAUAUAUAUUAAACUAUUAAAGCUCGGAUGCGAAAUUGUUUACGAAAGUUAGUAAAAACAUAAUUUUAAACCUGUAUCGUAUUUCUCUAACGANNNNNNNNNNNNNNNNNNNNNNNNNNNNNNNNNNNNNNNNNNNNNNNNNNNNNNNNNNNNNNNNNNNNNNNNNNNNNNNNNNNNNNNNNNNNNNNNNNNNCCAUGUGGUACUCCAAUACCUAAUGGAGACAUAUGUAUGCAAAAUGCAACCUAGAUAUGGCUUAAUCCUAAUCUAUAUGAUGAAAAUGCACAUGAAUAAAUGGAUAAAACAAUGUGAAUAUGCAAGAUAUCACACGCAGAGAAUAAAAUAUUACAAAAUCUCCUCGUAAGAUUUUGCCUAACACAAUAGUAUUUUACAUGGCAGUGUGAGUAGGGGUAGGAGAGUCCUAAAACAUCACACUCAUUCAGGGAACAGUUCAAUUUGGCAGAUAACUAAAUACGUCAAACUUCUUUGGUGUAGCUCCUAAUUUCUCUUGUUUUUUUCAUCAUCGACCAAAUUGUAAUGAAAUGAGUUGUCUUAAUAAUUUUUUUUUUCUUUUUUUUUCAAUUAUUAUCUAGAUUUGAUUUUAUUUUUCAUGCAUUUAAAAAUUAUAUUAUGAAACCGUUGGUUCGACAUCAUGACUAUCUAAAAUUCAUAUAACAUGUAACUAAACAAAUAAUAAUUGUUUUUGGCUACCAUUGAAAUAACUAAAAACUUCAAGUAUUUUAAUCGAAUAAACAAAAUAAAUAUUAAUUUAGAAUGAUAAUUAUAUUUUAGUAGAUUAAAAAAAACCUAAAACCGCAGUGAUAUCUAGAUUAAAUAAACCUAAUAUCUUUUUAUUUUAAGAAAUAACAAAAUUAAUAAUCUUAUCACGCACAAGGCGCAUAUUAUUACCUAGUGAUAUGUUAUUCAAACAAAACAUUCCAUAUUUGUAUUGGUGAAUGAUCUUAUUGACACAUUUGUUUAAAACAGAAAUUGAGACAUGGUAAACAAAAAUCGAGCCUACUAUCACCGGUUCACCGUCAAAAGGUGACUUCUUUUACGUAGUCGUUGAAGUCUUAAAUGUUUGUACAAAAUCAGUCAAAGAAAUUUGGGAAACUAUGUGUUAAUUGAUAAUUAUAUCAAUUAAAGUAAAAUUAAUUUACAACAUUUAUUCUUCUUUAUCAAUAUAACAACAAAGGGUUCGUCUCGCUAUCAACAAGUUUGAAAUAGUCGUGAAAUAAUAACGUCUUGUCCCUUUAAUAAUAUGGUAGGUCUCCAAAAGACAUAAAAAAUAAUCUGAAAUUAAAGUUUGAUAUCUCAUACACAAUUUUGUUAUUUUUGUAGUGAGAAAGAUAAUAUUUAUGAACCAAAAAUGUUAUUAGCUUAACUAGAAUAAUACAAUAGGCAAAGUUUAAAUCACAAAAUCAAAUGACGUUCAAAAGAAAACUAAUAUUAAAUAUUAUAAUUUUUAAGUCUACAUGAUUUAGUAAAAAGUAUAUUUUUUAAAGGUAUGAAAUGGGGGAUUUUCUAAUAUCCCUUUUCAGAUGGGAAAGUAGAAGAGCCUGAAAUAAGCAAAUUUGAUAAUGCUUCAAUGUCAAGUCUUUACAAUAUAAGAGAAACAAAAAACUUAUUUAAAUAAUAAUAAAAACCUUUAAAUAUCCCCAUUUUGAUGGGUAUAUGACAAUAGAAGAAACAAAAAAUAAAAGUCAACAAAAUUAAAUUAAAAUCAUGGACAAGUUGGUGUGGAUGACACAAACCAUACCUCAAGGUAGGUGAUAUAUCCUUAUGGAGAGAUUUUAGCUGUUCUUCAAAAUCAGGACCACACAUCAACUUCACUAAAUCUUUAACUUCCAGAUAACUCUAAAUUUUAUAACUUUACCAUCUUCAUGAUUAUAAUAUCUCUUAGUCUAGGACCAGGAGAGAGCAGGACCAGUACCAAUCAUAUUGUUAUAUCGGUCGGGCUGAUUUUAUACCGGUUUUGCUAAAUGACUAGAGAUGUAAUCAUGUGAAUGUAACAAUUGUUUAGCCAAAUGAAUCCAUGAGCUAAGAGCUCCAUCUUAAGACAGCUAGUACAAACUAAAAGAUAGGAUGAUUCUUGUGGUUCUUGGGUUUGUCACGUUACUCAGAAAGAAGAGAAAGAGAGAGGGAGCCCAAGUCUUUGACAUCAAUGAAGUUUGGUUUUUUUGAUAGAUAAAAACUGGUCCCCUACAUUGGUAUUAGUUCCAUAACAUACCCAGAGAUUACAAAACCAAUACUUAGGCUAAAGGUGGUCACAUGAUUCUUCAGGCGACUUUGGUUCUCUUUUUUUUCCAAACUGCAACUCGCAUUUACCCGUUAAGACAACAUCUUUUUCAUCUCCCUAUUAAACACAUAGGCCUAACCAUAUAACAACAUUAACGUCUAGAUACAUCCCUUUACAUUUUUCUCAUUUGUUUUCAGAUUCUUAUAUCAUUUGGGAUGAUGAAAUGGGGAAAAAAGAAACCUGUUUCUUCUUCUUCUUCUUCUUCUCCAGGGUUGUCUCGUGCUCAUCAUGUUUCUUGGUUUUCAAAGCUGACUGGUUCUUCUGACUUAAAACUUGCAAAAGAGAAGAAGAAGCAAGAUGAUGAUGAAGCUAGCCAGAAGAUGUCUUCAAAAUCUUCCUUGGGUUCUACUAAACGUCGAAAUGAUACUCAUGAGAGUAGCAAAAGGUUUCAAAGAGUAUCAGCAGAAAAGGAGAACGCUACAACAAGAUCAGCAAAUAUGGAGUCAAAUGAGAAGUUUGAAGAGAUUAUGAGCAGUGUGAGGAAGAAAGUAAGAGAUUUCCAAAGAGAGACAAUGGAUGGAGACAAAGAAACUGUGAUCAUGACGCCAAGAAUUCAGGUGAACAGAGAUAGGCAGCAGAGAUGUGAGAGACGUGAUCAAAAACUUCUCGAACAAAAGCCAAAGAGACCAGAACAGAACACAGAGGUUAAAGUGAAGAAACCAGCGAGAAGGACAGGUACAAGUAACAGUAGAGAGACUCUUGUGGCUCACCAGUGGCAGCAUCUCAAGGAAACAAAACUAAGAGAAGUGAAGCUGAAGGCUGACAAACAGAGGAAAUCUAUGUACCUAAGAAGGGAGCUAGGGACAAAAGAAAACAGCAAGGUUAGAGUCUUUUCACCAAGAUCAUCUGAAAAAUGCAGAGUCAAAGCUAUUGAAGACUUGAAGAAGGCUAAACAGAGAGCAAAGGAGCAGGAGAUGGAGAAUGAAAGCUUUGCAGUAGUGAAAUGCUCGAGCGAUCCUCAGAAGGACUUUAGAGAUUCAAUGAUUGAGAUGAUCAUGGAGAAUGGUAUCAAUCGCCCUGAAGAACUCAAAGAGCUUCUGGUUUGUUAUCUAAGACUUAAUAGUGAUGAGUAUCAUGAUAUGAUCAUAAAUGUUUUUCAGCAGGUGCAUAAUGAUUUAUUGAUGUUGGUGUAGAAUAGUAAUAUAAAGAUCUAUGGAUGAUUAAUUAUUCUGAUUUGUUAAAUGUUUUACACUUUCUACUAUGCAACUGUGCUAUUUCAUACUUCUUGGUUAUAACGUAAACUGAUAGCAAGUCGUUUAGUGGUUUAUUAGUCCUCCACCAGCUAAGAACUCAUGAACAGCACCGUCGACUUCAGUCAUGCUACAUCCAGGCUUCUUGCUUACUCUUUGUGCUCUCACCUCCAUAACAGUAUCCCAUCUUCCACUAGAGGCAUACAAGUUUGACAUCUGAACAUGACCUGAAGUCUCCCCUGGAUUCAGCUCCAGAAGAAACAGAGGGACUAUAUAAAAUCGUGAUGCCUUAAAUGACAUGUUCCUUUACUUAGAGUAAUUUUAUUGCAAAGGUUCUUAACAUUGAGUAUCUCACAAAGAUUAAAACAGACAAUUAUAUUUCAACGAAUGAGGUUUUAAAUGGUGAGAUACUCACUGAAAAGCAUCUCAAAAUAUAUAGUGCUAAGAAUAUUUGCAAUGGAAGUGUUCUUAUGCUCAGGACCAAUAAAACGCAAAAAAAUAAUUACCGGUUUUAAGCAUAAAUGCAUGAGCUUGUUCAAUCACCGACACAGAUUUGCAUGCCAACAUCAGGUUUGUGCAUAGAGGUUUGCUGUUUUACUCUUUAUUCAGUCUUUGAAUAAUUAACUUUUAGUCUUGUCCCAUCUUUUAAUCUUUUGGUUUAGUAUUUUUUAAUCAAACGAUACUCAAACUACAAAAAAUUGAAAGUUAUAUCAAUUUAUAUAAUUACAUCAAUAACAAAGAAAACAUUUAUUAUUUAUAAUUUUUUUUUCUUUUUUUUAAUCUGUUGACGUACUAAUUCUUUUUAGGGCUUCUUUUAAACGGGUAUAUAUACGCAUAUUGGAUAAAACUAUCAUAUAAUAAUAUAAAUACAAUAAGCUUUGGUAAGAAUAUUUAACGAGAGAAUUUGCAUUGCCGUCGUCGUUAUAGCCAGCAACCAAUCAAACAUCACAAGUCGACAUGGACAAAGGAGAGAUUCCAGAGAACGCCAACGAGCGUAAGCAAUAUCAAAUCCAAUCUUUCAGUUUCUUUUUAUUUCUUUUGCUUGAGCUAAUCAUGGAUUCUUUAUUCCAUGUUUUAACCUAAUAAUUGCUUUAUUGUUCUUUGUUAUGCAUGGUGAUAAUAGAUUGCCCAGGUCCCUAGCCGAAACUGCUGGAAAAUCAGAAUCUUGCGCAGGUUGCCCUAAUCAACAAGCAUGUGCCACUGGCACUGCUCCUACGGGACCUGAUCCAGGUUCAAAUCUUACUUGUGACAAUUAGAACUCUUGUUUGAUGCUAAUGUGAUAAUUAAGCGCCUCAUGGUGAUAUUUUUUUUUUCUUCCAGAUUUGGUUGCCAUAGCUGAAAGAAUGGCUACCGUGAAGCACAAGAUACUGGUUCUUUCUUGCAAAGGAGGGGUUGGUAAGAGCACAUUUAGAUAUAUGCGGGCCAAGCAUGCCAAAAAUGUUAGGCCUCGAAGGGCAACGGGUUCACAAGAACAACUUCGGAUGGUCCCCGGUUUACGUGAACGACAACCUCGGUGUCGUGUCAAUAUCUCUCAUGCACUCCGAGUCUGAUGAUGAGCCUGCCAUCUGGAGAGGUCCACGCAAGAACGAUCUCAUCAAACAGUUUCUAAAAGAAGUCCACUGGGGAGAUCAUAUUGAUUACCUUGUGGUUGAUACCCCACCAGGCACCUCAGACGAACACAUCACCCUCGUCCAAUGUCUUUUAGACACUGGAAUCGAUGGUGCUAUCAUCGUUACAACUCCCCAGGAAGUAGCCAUGGCCGACGUUAGAAAGGGAGUGAACUUUUGCAAGAAAAUUGGGGUCAGUGUGCUAGGAGUAGUGGAGAACAUGAGUGGUUUAACUCAACCGUUGAGUGAUGUCAAGUUCAUGAAGCUGACGACAGAGACCGGCUCUUCCGUUGACGUGACGCAAGACAUGAUCUCUUGUAUACGAGAGAAUGCACCAGAGCUUCUAGAUGGUGUCUUUGCAUGGAGCCAAGUGUUUGACAGCAGCGGAGGAGGUGCUGAGAGAAUGUGUGAGGAGAUGGGAGUGCCGUUUCUAGGGAAAGUUCCUUUGGAUCCACAGCUUGGCAGAGCAGCUGAGCGAGGUAAGUCAUGCUUUGAGGCUAACAAGUGUUCUGUCAGCGCGCCUGCGCUUAAGAGCAUCAUAGAGAAAGUUGUUGCUUCCAUAAAGAUGAAGGAAGACCUGAGUGGAGGAGAGAACAAAGAGACCCCAUAAAUCGAUGUGACAGCAGCGUUUGAGCAGCCUUUGUUUGUGUUUAUUAAGUUUUUAGGCAUUACUUCACAUGUCGAACAAGAUUUUUGAACCACAACGUCUAAGAUAAAACAAACAGAUGAAAGACAGAAAUAACUGAAACAAGAAUAAGAUUUAACCGAAAUCGAAUCUAAAUAGGUAUGUACUGAAGAAAAUCUAACUAAAGUACAUCAUCUCAACAUGAACCGACACAUAUGUUAGGUAAUUCUUUGUAAAACUUGAUCCUAGAUAGGUGGUCUAUAUAUAUAUCGAAAAUAAAUUGGACAACAACUCAACAAGAUGUGUAUUAUACUAACUAAGAUUGUGAAACCCGUUAUGUGAAACACCUAGCCAGAAAGUAUUCAGACUUAUCUCGAUAAUUUUUGCGUGCUUCACAGAUUUCACAAUUUUGGUUUGAUAUCCAAAUUUAUCUCUAAUAGUUUACAUUUGCAUCCGUAAUGCAUGUGUACAGGCUUGUAUCUUCUUUAAUCGCAUAUUUGUUAGCCGCAAGCCUGCAACCAUCAAUCACUUUGCAUUACAUGUUAUUACAGUAUGAAAAUAGUUAUCAGUCUCUUUUUUAUAUUGUAAUUUCAGUCUGUUUUUUAAUAAAGAAAGCAUGCAAGGUUUCGUUUCUUGAUUAUUUCAGUACGAAAUUCAGGCCUAACAAUGCUACACUCAUAUGCAUGGCCAUUACCCAACACAAGCCAGCCCUGCAGCAAUUUGUAACAAACCCUGCAAAGUAUUGUAAUUUUACCUGUCUAACAACACCUUACCUAUGAAAUUUAACGACCACUUAACAACGAUCGUUUAUGAGGACUUUACAACGAAAGAAAAACUCUACAAAUGUCUAAGAAUUAUGAUUCAUUGUCGUAAUACCCAGCUAAUGACAAAUGUAGCUGUCGUUUUUUUUAACGCUAGAUAUAUUAUGCUAUUACUCGGAGAUAUAUGACAGACAAUUUUACAUUCCUUCGAAUUUUUUAUAAGUUGUUCCUCCAUUAAUUUGCAUAAUUCCAUUUUUUCUACGAAUCGAAACCUAGACAUCCUGGUGUAGAAACAUUAAUGAACUUUGGUCAAACCAGUGGACCAAUAGAGCUUCCACGUGUAGUUGUCGUGCAUGUUUUCUUGUAGUAAUAUCACGAGAGGUAAAAGAUUAAUUCUAAAAUAUGAUUAAAUUGCACACUUAAUCAUAAUCGUACUAAACAAAAAUUCAAUAAAUCGAAAAGGACGCCAUUCAGUUUAAUUUAAAUUUAAACAAGCAGAAGGAAACGAUAAAUAAAUACUUCAAAGGGAAACAUAGACUAGACAAAAAAAAAAGAUAAGAGCGAGCGAAUAUUUGGACAUUUAUUUAUAUUACUCAUCUGUUUUCCUCAUACGUUUGGUCUUGGGAGGAUAUCCUACCUACAACAUGUAAUCUGAAAUGAAACAUUUUGAGUAUUUGGACAUGUAUAUACAUUUUCUUCUGUUGAGAAUCUAUAUCAUUAAGAAAAGAAACUUGCCUCGUCAUGGUACUUGGAUAUUUUAUAUUGCCUUUGCCGGUGAGGAAAGGAUUGAGUAUGCGAAAGCAUUCUGUGCUCCUGUUUGACAACGAGUAGAAAGAGAAAGAGUUAAACAGGUUGUUGCUCAAAUGGUUAGACAAUCUAUUGAUACAGAGGAAGCAGAGGGAGAGGAUGCGUACUUCCUGUAUAUGUUCUUUACUUGAGAGAUGCUUCUUGAAAGCAUCCAGGCUUUUGCGAUCACAGUAGCACAAUUUGCAACAAAACAUUCCGGUAGAUGCUGGAACAACCCUUUCACUUUCACUGCACUUGUGAAGAAUGUUUCUUUUUGUCUCUGAAACUGGGGAGGAAAAAAAUAAAAUGAGUAGUGGAAGAUGAGAGAACAAACCUGAAAGUAAGCUAUCCCAGAGCCACUCCGAAGAAGUGAGCAGGACAGGCAUUUCAAAAGGCCUAGCUGAGUAAGCCAAAAAACAGUUGUAGUUACUCCUUUGUAGAUCCACGCAAAUAAGUGAUGAACGGUACUUGCUGGAAGCCACUUCAUCCGAUAUGAUCAUAAUUGAAGCCGGAGCAGGAUUAUCAACUUUCCAUGCCCUAAAAUCUGUUGUCAUGCGACUGUAUUCGACCCCUGUUUCAACAAAAGGAAAUAGUUUCAGUGUGGAUAUAGUUGACACUACAAGAAAACAUCGGUAUUCUGACGGACAUUCCGACGGAAAAUGAAAUCCUCGGAAUUUCCCUCGGAAUUUCCUCGGAAUAUACCGACGGAAUUCCGAGGAAACAUCAAUCCGUCGGAAUAUUCCGAGGACAUUCCGACGAACUAGUGAUCGAUCGAUGCGUUUUUGGACAUAUACCCAUCGAUCGAUCACAUUGUUACGCUUUGGUCCAUCAUAGUGAUCGAUCGAUGCGUUUUUGGACAUAAAUACAUCGAUCGAUCCGUUUAUAAAAAAACAUUCGAGAUUUUGAAACCCCAAACACUAGUUCCUCAGAAUUUCCUCGGAAUAUUCCGAGGAAAUUCCGAGGAACACUUGAUAUCCUUGAUCGAUCGAUGGGAUAAUCUCAUCGAUCGAUCACAUUGUUACGCUUUGGUCCAUCAUAGUGAUCGAUCGAUGCGUUUUUGGACAUAAAAACAUCGAUCGAUCCGUUUAUAAAAAAACAUUCGAGAUUUUGAAACCCCAAACACUAGUUCCUCAGAAUUUCCUCGGAAUAUUCCGAGGAAAUUCCGAGGGACACUUGAUAUCCUUGAUCGAUCGAUGGGAUAAUCUCAUCGAUCGAUCACAUUGUUACGCUUUGGUCCAUCUUAGUGAUCGAUCGAUGCGUUUUUGGACAUAAAUACAUCGAUCGAUCCGUUUAUGAAAAAACAUUCGAGAUUUUGAAACCCCAAACACUAGUUCCUCAGAAUUUCCUCGGAAUAUUCCGAGGAAAUUCUGAGGAAUAAAAGGGUUUCCUCGGAAUUCCCUCGGAAUAUUCCGAAGAAAUUCCGAGGAAAUAGGGUUUUUAAACCGAAAACAACGUUUUGCGGUUUGAAUAACACCUAUAUAACCCUUAUUAAGUGUCUUACGUUCAUUAUGAAGUCAAAAAUUUGUUCAUUACCCUAUAAUAAACACUUUUCCGAUUGUAUGAACGAAAUCCCCACAACAUAAGAGAAACACUUAUACACUUUAAUGAACGGUAAAGGGAAUACUUACAAUUCGUUUUGAAAUUUGUUAUUUCAUGGUUUAUGCUCAUCUAUACAAAGAAUCUUCAAUGGUAUGCAUUACAAUUGUAUAAGAAAUGAAAUACGGCAAAAAAAAUUGAUGUUUUGAAACCCCAAACACUAGUUCCUCGGUAUUUCCUCGGAAUAUUCCGAGGAAAUUCCGAGGAACAAUAUAAAUUAAUAGAAAUACAUGCACAGGAUAUUCUUUUUCCUCGAAUUAAUGAAAAUAUUCCGAGGAAAUUCCGACGGAUAUUUAAGUGGCCGUCGGAAUUUCCUCGGAAUAUUUUCAUUUAACCGGGCAAACAAGCCGCCAAAUAUUUCGCGAAAAUUGAAAUUGAAAAUACUGAGGGAAUUCCGACGGAAAAUAUCCGUCAGACCCAAGGUUUUAUAAACUCGAACCGCAUCUUCUUCCCCAUUUCUCUCUUCUUCCCCAUUUCUCUCUUCUUCCUCUCCGGCGAUCUCUCUCUCCUUCCGGCGUUCUCCACCUUCUCUCGCGACGAUCUCUCCGGCGAAUCCUUUCCAUUCCUUUACAAAUCAUGUAAGGACCUUAUCCUACUCUCUUAGGUCCUAUUUGUUAGGUUUUUAAGUAGAUUUGAUGAUUUUAGAAGUUUUUUGAUAGAUUUUUGUUAGGGUGAUUGGGUAGGAUUGUGAUUUGUUGUGUAAUAGGUUUAGAAUUGUGAUUUGGUUGUGUUGAAUUGAUUUAGAAUUUUUUUUAUAAAUUGUUUAUUAUUUUUGUAUUUACAAAACUUUAUAUAAAUUCGAUUUUACAAAACGUUUUUGUAUAUAAAUUUGAUUUUUGGAUUUAUAAAAGAUGAUUUCAUAUUUAUAAAAAUAUUUAUAUUUAUUAAAACUAAUUUUGUAUUUAUAAAACAUUUUUUUGAUUUAUAAACACUUUUUUUUUAUUUUUGUAUUUAUAAAAACUAUUUUUAAAUAUACAAAACAUUCUUUGUAUAUAAAUUCGUUUUUUGGAUUUAUAAAAGAUGAUUUCAUAUUUUAAAAUUAAUUUUGUAUUUAUAAAACAUUUUUUGAUUUAUAAACACUAUUUUAUUAUUUUUUGUAUUUAUAAAUACUAUUUUGUAUUUAUAAAAAGAUGAUUUCAUAUCUAUANNNNNNNNNNNNNNNNNNNNNNNNNNNNNNNNNNNNNNNNNNNNNNNAUAUUUAUUAAAACUAAUUUUGUAUUUAUAAAACAUUUUUUUAUUUAUAAAAACUAUUUUAUUAUUUUUUGUAUUUUAAAUAUGUUUUCUAUUUCAAUUUUAAUUUUAUAUUUUUGAAUUUCAAUUUAAAAAAAUAAAUUUAUAAUUUUUUUUUUGAAUUUUGGAAAUAUUCCGAGGAAGUGUAUCCCUCGGAAUAUUCCGAGUACAUAUUCCUCGGAAUAUUCCGAGGAAUUUCUAUUCCUCGGAAUAUUCCGAGGAAUUUCCGACGAAAAAAGUCCUCGGAAUAUUCCGAGGAAAUUCAUUUCCUCGGAAUUCCGUCGGAAAUUUCCGAGGGAUUUCCGAGGAAAGAUGAAUUUCCGAGGAGUUAUUUCCGAGGAUUUUUUUCGUCGGUAUGUCGUCGGAAUAGCGUUAUUCCGGCGACGAUUUUUCCCUCAGUAUGCCGUUGUUUUCUUGUAGUGUGAAAAUUAUACAACAGGGAAACGUGACUAACAGGGAAGGGUAUGUGCAAAAGACUCCGGUGGAAGAGAGCGCAAGAAGGUGGUGAUCAGGGGUUUGUUUUUUGGUUGGCAUAGGCAGUGAUAGAGACAGGACCCGAGUAGCCUAGUUCCUUGAACGCCCUUUCUAUACUUGGACGGACCCGAGCAUCAUACCCCUCAGGAAUCGGGCAGUCAUUCACGUUCCACAACACCAGUAUUUUAGCUGUGGCGUGUUCAGGCGUGGCCGGGUAGUUCCUUGCCCACGUCUUCGUCACACAUAACAGUUGUGUGUCCGGAGGCUUUAUAGCCUCCUGCCGAGUUGUUGCUCAGAUUAUGAAACAAAUUAUUGAGAGAGAUAUAUAUAGAGAGAGAGGAUGCUUUGCUUACUUCCAGUCCAUGCUUAUAACUGGAGAAAUGAUUCCUCGAUGUCUUCAGGCUUUGGCAAUCGAAAUUGCACGAUUUGCAAUAAAACAUGGCAGCAGAUGAUAAUCCACCCGCCGCCACAAGUAGUGGUGCGCCUCCUUCUUCUAGUAAUUGCUCCCAGCGCCAAUUUGCUUUAUAGAGCAGGAAUAACUCCUUACAACUCUUAAUUGAAUAAGCCAGAAAAAGGUGGUAUCUAGUGCGCUGUUGUAGGCGGGCCAGAUCCCAGGAGAAUUCACCUUCCACCCUGGGUUUUAAAUGUCGAAUGGCGACUCUUGGCGUUAGGAGGGUCGACACUCGCCACACGCCAUGGCUUUUUAUGGCGAUCGCCAUGUGUAUCCAAAAGCCAAAUUACAGUCAGCUUCUACCCCUAAUUAAAGCAUAUAUUUCAGAAACCAAAACACCUUAUUCAUUGAUAAAAUAAAUGUAGAAAACAUAAAACACCAAAUGAAAACACAUAUUCAAAGCAUAAUACCAAAGCAAAACACCAAUUCAAAGCAAAACCCGAAAUCUAAAACAAAACAAGAUAACAAAAAAAUGAUAUACGUAAUGAACAUCAACUUAAAAUCCUAUGAACCCUAUGUCAAAGAGAGAUUUGCAUAAAUAAAGAAGAGUUACUGCCCGUGUAUCUAGCAGAGAAAGCAAGAACUUAGAAAAACGAUAGGGUCAUGUUACUAUUAUAUAGUACUAUUGUUGAAGUAAUUAGGGUUUUAGAUGGAUUAGGGCUUUCUGUUUAGUAUAUUUAGGGUAUAGUACUAUUUUACUUAACCAUUGUGGAUUUAGAAACCAAAAUUCUGUUAAACCAACUUGGUUUGUUUCUCAACAACGAAGCGACGCUAUGGUCGACACCCAGUAAAUAAGAAAAGCGAGCAAAGGCGGUCGACAUGUGUACCUCGCAGUCGCAUGGCCAUGAGGGGUUCUGGCGUUUUGGAGAUCGCCACAGGUCGCCACUAGCCAUGGCGUUCAAAGCGGUCGCCAUUUAAAACCAAGUUCCACCUGAUCGGAUAUGAUCAUCAUUGUAGCCGGAGGUGGAUUUUGACCUCGCCAUUCCACCAUAUCCUGAUACAUGACUGAGCGCGUGCUAUCUGUGAAUAUAUGGAUGAAUUACAUAAAAUUUCUAGUAUAUGAUUUUUUUGUUAUAAUAUACUAACCAUCAGAGAAAGACUAACCGGAUUUGGUAUGUGCAACAGCGACUCCAGUGGAAGAAAGCCCUCGCAGGACGUGGCAAGGGGUUUGGUUUUGGUCGCCAUAUGCAGUGAUGGAGACAGGACCAGUGUAGCCUAGUUUAUUGAACGCCCUUUCUAUUCUUGGACGGACCCGACGAGCAUCAUACCCCUCCGGAAUCGGACAGUCCUUCAUGUCCCACCACAUCUCUAUUUUAGCUGUCUUCGCCGCAGCGUUCCCCGACAUCCUCUCUAACAAAUCUCACACGCAAGUCCUCCCUACGUAGUACUAGGGCUUCUUUUUAUGUACACCAAACUAAUGCGCCUAAUAAAACAUAGUAUUGGUGGGGGCUUGCUUACCAAAUACGGAUUUUUUAUCUCUCAUUUAUAUCAGGGAAAAUAUCAGUGUUUUUAAAACCGGACCGGCUAGCGAACAAAAGUUUUUUUGGGUCAUGGGUCAUUGUGGUUCGACCGAAUCUGAAUCGGGUUCGAUCGGGUUUACUUAGAUUAAACUAAAGUUAAUGAUAUUUUAUAAAUAAUACGCAUAUUUUAAAAAAAAUAGAUCAUAUCAAAUAAAAUGUUUAAAUAGCCAUAAUAUGUAGAAAAACUUAAAAACAACAAUUAAAAUCUAAAAUCAAUAUGAAAAUCAUAUUUAAAUUUUAUUCGCAAAUCUUAUCACUCUACAUCUUCAUCACCUUUUAAAAAAAUUAUAUACUCAUUAGGUAAAAGUUAUAUUUUGAAAUACAAAUUUUAGAAAAGAAAAAUGUUUCAAUUAUUUAAAAUCUUCAAAACAAGUGAUCAUGAAAUAAAAAAAAAUUUAAAAAGUGAGAAGUAGACAAAAACAAUAUCUUCACGUGAAUAUUAAACUUUGUGAAUCUUGUAAUUUAUGAGUUGUAGAGAAGACAAAAGAAAAAGACGAGAGACGAUACUUUAUUAAUCUUUGAUAAAUCUUAUUUUUACUUAAAAAGAAAAAAAAGUAAUUGUUUCAUUAACAAAAUUUUGGCUUAUAUACGAACCGGGGUUUGGCCGGUUCAUUGGGUCGCCGGUUCUCGGGUUUUUGACGGUUCGAUAGGGAUUUUUAACUGGUUCGAUUUUAGUUGGGUUUUAGCAUUAACCCAACCCGAAUUAUUUUUGGUUCAUGGUUCAACCCGGUCUGACCGCCGGACCGGGUUUAAAAACACUGGAAAAUAGGAAAUAUAGAAUAAAAAUUCAAUAUUAUUGUCCUAAUAUGAUGAUACCAUUGUCUCAUUUGUAUAACUAGGGUUGGUCCUUCCGAUUCGUGUAUUUCGUCUAAUAUUUACUUUUACUUGAAAGAGUUUGGUUAGAAAUAAUUACUUUUGUGAUUACUCUGUUUUAUUUUUAUCAUUCAUUCAGAUUAUCGUAUAUUCAGUUUCAAAUUAACUUAAUUUCAUAAUUCGAUUAUUGAGAUUAAUUAAUGGAGUUAUGUUACGUUUUGUUUUGGUAGUGUAGAUUUUUUUAAUUUAUUUGUUUUAUUUUAGGUCAUCUGUUUCUAUUCUGUUUCUCUAUGUUUUUGUUAUGUUGUUUUGUAUUGCAUCUUUUGUUCGGAUAUUUUCAUAGUUGUAUUAAUUUACGCUUGAAGAUUUUUGUGGAAUUCAUAACAUCAUCUUUCUAAAAAAAAAUUACGUUUAUUUUGAUUACAAAAACUUUAAUCUCUUGUUUUUAUCAUGAAAACAAUAUCUUCAUUUUGUUCUUCUGUUUAUUGGUUAUAUUUGUUAUAUCUUGUUAUAUUCUGUUUUUACAAUUAAUUUUAAAAUGUUCUCUAUCAAAAUGAAAUAUAUUCGACUAUAAUUUGGAUUAUUAAUAUUUAUACUGAAAUUAUUUUAAAUAGAAAAUAUUUCAUAGCCAAAUAAAAUAAAUUCAAGACUUGCAACAUUUGGAAAACAUUCAGAUUGUAAAACCAAGAUUGUAAAACUUGGCAUGUCAAGCUCUUGGAAAACAUUCAGUUUUAUCUUUGAUAUUUAUAUUUUUCAAGUGUUUCACGAAUUUACAAUUUUGGUUUGAAUGCAACAAAAUGUGCAUGUCCAUUGCGCAACACAUUCCAUGCCUUGUAACAUUUUGCUUUACAUCUUUUUCUGCAAUAUGUUUUAGGUUAAAUUUCUAUGGUCCUCCUGCAAGAUUAAUGUUAUAGAGUAGUCUCCUGACAUGAACUCACAGGACAUACAUGUGAUGAUGAAAGACAGACCCAAAUGCUUAUAACCGAAAACAAAGAAACCAACCUAUAGCACAAGAAACUAAAAAAAAAAACAGUCUAAAGUAGAGAGAUCCUUGACAUAUCAACAUCUCUAUCAAGAAGUCAGAUGUCCAAGCUGCUCUGUAAUUGUAUUUACAUUCCUCGAGUUCCACCAACAUUUCUCACUCCGAUCUUCAGCUUUCUCUGACUGAACUUCCCGUUGCUCGGUUGAGCCAGGGUUCUCUGUCAAAAGCUGCUGCCAGAAGACGUCAUUUGCUCCAACUGCUGGAGGAGAAGGAUCAGGAGGAACAACGUUCUGUUCUUUUGAAACAUCAGGCUCAGAGUUCAUGUCGAUGGUCCUUGGAGAAGGAGGAGAUUUAAGACGUAUAUCGAUACUUAGCUGAAUGCAAGAAAGAGGAGGGCUUUCAGGACAAGUAGAUGAUUCAUCCACAUCAAGUGUCAUCAUGUUUCUCGUUGAUUGUUGUGCCAUACUCUCGCAAGAAUCCGACACAAGAUUCUCCCAAAUCGCUAUCGAUGACUCCAACCGUUCCACCUGACACUCCGUUGCAUCGUGUGAAGAAGUGCUCGUGGAACCUUCCUCUCUCACAGCACCACAUGUCUGGUGGUUCUCCUCCAACAUCGUCUCUAAUCCAACCCUAGGGAACCUUCUUUUCCUCUCGUUUGCUUCGGGCAGACACGGAGAUAGAUUCAGAGCAAGCUCUGGCUUCUCAAGUACCUGAGAGACAGACGAAACCAUUGUCCUCUGACGCUUCUCCAUGUGAUGUAACUGGUCUUUGAGUUUCUUAACUUGCUGCUCAAACAACUCUCGUUCCUCCUCGUGUUUAUGUAACUCUUCAAGCAACACUUGUUUCUCCGUAGUCAGUCUCUCGAUCUGACUGUUCAUUCUCUGCCGCUCCGAAUCGGUCAAAGGGUUUUGCUGAGAUUGGAGAUUAGGUAGAGAGUGGCUGUGAACAGGUUUGCGUCUAUGAAUGUUCUUCAUAAGAUGAGGUUGGCCUCUCACGAAAUCGUCAUUAGCAAACUCCCAUUGCUCUGGAUCAGCUUUUCUAAAACCCUUUUGAAAAAAAAAAAAAGCAUUCAACUAAAAAUAAAGAUGAUUGUAUAUCAAUCAAGAAACAGAGCAUAACUAAACACUUACGUAAGUGUUAAGCUGUCGGAUAAAGCUUGAGAAGUUGUUGUGUUUGAAGAAUUUUGGAAGGAGGUCUCUGGAGAACUCUGGAGGAUUCCAGACGAUGAAACUCUUGUUGCUCUGACUCCACGAGACGAUUGAAUCCGAUGAGGAAUCGUCGACCAUCUCGUACGUUUUGGUGAGGAAAGGUGGGAGUGAGGUUGAUGAUGAACCUCCAUGGCUACUCUCAUCCAUCUCUAGACACACUUCCAAAUCUCGUCGCUGUGGAUACUACACAAAGAUCAGAACUUUCGAUUCAGCAACUCCAGAAACAGAGUGGUCCCUCCAAAAAAAACAGAGUGGUCCCUCCAAAAAAAAACAGAGUAAUCCCUCUGUUUUGCAAUGAAGCUAAUCGAACUGAAGCUUCUCAGAAACUCAAACCCUCUAAAAUUCAACGAAUCUUGAUCCCUUUUUGUAUUAAAUCUCACCUAAUCAGAUCAAAGAAGAGGCAAAAAAAGACAAUUUUGAUUCUUCUCGAAACCUCUCUGUUUCUCGAACCCUUGUGGGUGGUAUUUAAUCAGACAGGGAGUUUAGAAACAGCAGUAAGUUGUCUUGUUAUUGCAUCUCUCUCUCUGGCAUUAUUGAUGCGGAAAAAUCAAAGAUAUAUCAGAAGACUCUAGUGGAUGGAGGCAGAGAAGACCGAAGAAAAGUAAACGAGUAGAUUGACCCGGUGGUUUGAUAUAACCCUGAGAAGGAAGAAUCGUCAAAGCUUUUUUGAUCGAUAAACGCGUAAACAGUCUCUCCAGCAAAACUAACGCUUACAUGAAAUGAUUCCAAAAAGGUUUGAUGAAGUGCGUACGAAUCCGACCACAACACCCAAGUUUGCAAAGAUUGGGUUUGGUGGAAUUUUUAUUUUUAUUUUUAUUUUAUUAACAAAUCUUUUUUAUGAAAGUGCCCCAUGAGACUAUGUGAGAGCUGUUUUAGAUGGAGUACUAUUUAAUUAUUAUAAAUAUGUUAAAGUUAGUCAACGAAAUGUUAUUCAUGCAGAUCUUGUUUGUGUGUGUUACAAGCAUUUAUGACCGUAGGAAAUUUCGUUGUUAUCUUUUGGUAUUUAUAACUUUAGAAAGUAUUUUGAUUUUUUUUUUGAGGGCACAAAAUCGAAAAGUCUUGUUUGAAUAUUCAAAUGUGAUAGCAUUUGGUAACCAUUGUUUGAAUAUUCAGCUUCCAAGGCAUUUCUUCCUAAUUGUCUUGGUAACCGAAAACCAUUACAUAUAAUCUUAACCGUAACCCUAUUUAGUUAUAAGUUCUACUCCAGUUAUAAACUUUCUUCUCUGGCUUUCUAUUAUAUAAGUGCGUACGUGCCUAGUUCACUGACCCGUAUGUCUUGAUGUCUUUGCUAUAUCCCAAAAAAAAAUAUCUGCAUUCGUGGUUUCAGUCGUGGAAACACCGUAUCCUAUUGAUUAAAGUUUAAAUAUUUUUACAUCCAGGUAUGGGGUUGGAAUUUUAAGUUGUGCAAUUUCUUGCAAAUUACGUAUUAUUAGAGGUCCAAGUUUUAAUUCUCAAAAGAAAGGCUUAUAAAAGAUCUUCAACAUGUUGCAAGUAAAUCCGGUCAAAUUUGAAUCUUCAUAAGACGGUUCAGGUGAUUCAGUUAGACAUAGAUCCUUAUAAGGCAUGUAGUUUUGUCGGUUAUCGAACCAUCUAUGUAAUAUUUUUCAUAAUUGUAAUAUCAUAAUAAAUCAGCGUUAAAAAAAAAAGACAAACGAUACUGAUCCCUAAAAAGACAAUAAGAAAAUUAUACAUUCAGUAAACUGAUAAAGCUCAGUACUUUUUUGUGUGGAAAGCUCAGUACUUUUUUUGUGUGCAAAGCUCAGUACUUAUAAAAUCACAUAUUUAUCUAUAUAUUAUCUACUAUGUGUAUUGAUAGUCGACAUGAAAGAGCAAUCACAUAACUAAAAAGGUUGAAGCAUGCAACUAUCUUGUGUUCAUUUUUUUCAUAUUAUAACUUAUACAGAAAAUUAUGAUAUGAAAAAUGUAUACAGGAAAUUGCCAAAAUAAACUUAUACAUGAAAUUAAUAAAACUGUGUUGAUAAGGAUAAAAUACUUUUCAACUUUGGGGUUGGAGCUGGGUGCAGUGUCUCAUUCAUAUAUAUUAUUAACUCGUGUAUACACAUACAUGUAUUACAACUUCUUACAUUUUACAUAACGUAUGUAUAGUUGAUAAUUCAUAAACAUGUAACACGUAUAUGUUAAUAUAGCAAUAACUAAUGGAGUAAGUCUUAGUUCUUACCACCAGACGUAGUAGAUUAGUGGUUAUAUGUAUUGGGUUUUUUUUUUUUUUUUUUUUUUUUUUUUUUGAAAAAGGGCUUUUUUUAUAUGUAUUGGUGUUGUUGGGUUCCUAGUUCAAAAUCUGGUAAAUUGAGUGUUUUGUACUGUCUUUAGUACUAUAGAAGCUAACUCUAUGCAUGAAAAAGAUUAAAACUUAAGGUUCAAACUUCUCUUCGUUUUUAAAAAAUUGUUAACAUAUAAUAAAGUAACUAAUGGAAAAAUAGCAAACGAGUUAUGACUCGUGAGCAAUGACAAGUCGAUAGGAAGCAGAUCGGGAGCAUCACGUGACCCACUCGAUUUAACGGUCAUGAUUGAACAUAAAACCCAUUUAUGGUCCCCCUACAAAACGAAAGGUAACCUGUCAUAUUCCUCAAGAUGCCGUAAUCUCUGCCACGUAUCUUGGAUUCACAAAGUAGUUGAGCUAAAAUCUAGAUCAGUAACAUAAUAAUGUUACAUAUUCGUAGUGCCUCUUUAGACAUGGAUAGGCCAUAGUUGAUAACUGCCGUCACUGGAUAAGAAUAACGUCAAAACGAUAUAUCAGUUAGAUUUGUUUCAAAAACAGACAUAAUAAUGUUAUAAAAGCAACAUCAUAUUGAUAUUCUUGCCCAUUUUAUUUCUUAAUUUUGAAGCAUGGAACUGUUCAACCAAAAAAAAAAAAAAAACAAUUCUUCUUUGUAUACAAACCGGCGUCGUUUAAGGUCAACCAUAUAAUAAUCUCCAUUCUCACUUUAUUUAAAAAGCCUGAGCACGUGUAAACAACACUUAAGGGGGGUUAUACUUGUAAAUUAAAAUACACAUUUAUGGUAAUUUCGACUUUUUCUCCACCCCUGGUAAGUGCUUGUUAAUUUAUUACUCACAACAAGAAGAAAAAAGCGCCAAAGUUAGUUUUCUUAUCCGGCGAGUUUUCUCUCUCUAUCUCUCUCUCUCUCUCUAUCAGGUAUCAGCUAACAAUCACAAGAAGAAGAAGUAAAGGUCGAUGACUUCGGGGACUAGAACGCCGACGUGGAAAGAGAGAGAGAACAACAAACGGCGAGAGCGGCGGAGACGUGCGAUUGCGGCAAAGAUAUUCGCGGGGCUUAGGAUACAUGGGAACUUCAAGCUACCUAAACACUGCGAUAACAACGAAGUUCUUAAAGCUUUAUGCAACGAAGCUGGUUGGACCGUCGAAGACGACGGAACUACUUACCGGAAGGUAAUCCAACAAAACUCUAUCCUCUCAUCUUUCAGUGAAACUAUGAAUAGAUCUGAGCUUUCGAUUUGACAGAACAAAAUGUUUUCUGUAUUAUAAAAAUCGGACGGCUGUGAAUUAAUAUUGGCCGGUUUAGUUGUGAAUGCAAACGUCAGAUACCGUUCUGGUGAACUGAAACAAAAGCAUGAAUGUUGUCGUAAGUAAGAUUCGCUGAUGCUUAAACACUCUCUGUUCACAUUCAGAUCAGAAUAUUAAAAUGUAAUGACUAGUUUACCCUAAGCUAGUUACAAUGUCUAACAAGAAUUUGUCUAGGGUGUUAUCGUCAUUUGGACCAUCUACUCGUUUUGUUUCAAGCAGUAGCUUUUUCUUUUUUUGGCUAUAAAUUUUCAUUUUCUGUUUUUGUUUGGUCCCCUUUUGCUUUAAUUAAAAACUUUAGUACAACGAUCGAGGAAGACUUUUUGCCCUUUCCAGCUGGCGACUCUUUCUCUGAAAUUUCUGUUUUUCUUUCUUUUUUUGCUUACGUUCACAUUUACAUUUAGUUACAUUGACAUUAAAAAUAAGUUAAUUAACCUUCCAAGAAACUAUCCAUUUUCACAUAAUAACGGACCUCGCACGAGUGUUUAUUUGUUGUUUGUUAAAUACUUAAAACUAAAUAAAUGUCGUAAUUCUUGUUGAAUAAGUCAAUGGGUGAGACUGGGAAAAUGAUUUCUCUUUUGCCAACAUCUAAUGAUGAUGUUUGGGUUUUGCUUGUAUGGGGGAAGAAUAAAAUGGAAUGAUUCAUUGUUUGACUAUAAAAUGCCAAAAAAAUCAUUAUUCUUUUCUUUCUUAGUUGCAUUUGGAUUUUCAACUUAUCAAUGAUGGUGUCAUCUUGUUCGUGCUCACCAGCUUGUGCACUAGUAAAGAUUGUUCUUAAACAAACAAAAUCAUUGUUCUUUACUUUCUUUCUUUAUUUUUUGGUACAUAUGGAGUUUCAAUUAUCAAUUAUUAUGUCAUUUUUGUUCGUUUCUAACCAGCUUUUGCAUCUUUGUAAACUCUUUUGUAGGGAUGCAAACCAACGGAUCGAAUGGAACUCAUGAAUGGUUCCACUUCAGCGAGUCCAUGCUCAUCGUACCAACCUAGCCCUCGUGGAUCCUACAAUCCAAGCCCUUCAUCUUCCUCAUUCCCUAGUCCUACAAACCCAUUUGGUGAUGCUAACUCACUUAUCCCUUGGCUCAAAAACCUCUCUUCAAAGUCACCUUCCAAGCUUCCUUUCUUCAAUGGAAACUCUAUAAGCGCUCCCGUGACUCCACCAUUGGCUCGAAGCCCUACUUAUGAUCAAGUUACAAUCCCUGACUCUGGAUGGCUCUCUGGAAUGCAAACCCCACAGAGCGGACCAUCUUCUCCUACUUUCAGCUUGGUUUCGAGAAACCCAUUUUUCGACAAAGAGGCUUUUAAAAUGGGAGAUAGUAGUUCACCAAUGUGGACUCCUGGACAAAGUGGAAACUGCUCUCCAGCUAUUCCUGCUNNNNNNNNNNNNNNNNNNNNNNNNNNNNNNNNNNNNNNGCUGGUGUUGAUCAAAAUUCUGAUGUACCAAUGGCUGAUGGAAUGGCGGCAGAGUUUGCGUUUGGAAUGGUGAAGCCUUGGGAAGGAGAAAGGAUACAUGGAGAAUGCGUUUCAGAUGAUUUAGAACUUACACUUGGAAACUCAAGAACCAGAUGAUGGUUUCGAAGAAGUAUCAACGGCGUUUGCUAUCUAUCAACCUUCUUAUCAAAUUAACUCAUCUCUUACUUUCCUUUUCAUCUUUUGUCUGUUUUCUUUUUAAUUCAGUGUGAUGAUAAAAGGUGAUUGAGAGAAAAAGAUACAUUUCGAACUCUUUUUUCUUGUGGUCUUUUGACUGAAGUUGUAGUUAAAUUUUAUUUCAUCUCUCCAUGUUUUUUUAAUUAUUUGUAGAAGUCGAUUUGAGAUUGGGAAUGUUGUUAUUAUAGUGGAAAAUUCAUACUUCCUCUGUUCUAAAAGAUAGAAUUUUAAAUAUUUUCACAAAUAUUAAGAAAAAUUAUUAAGCUGCCAUAAUAAAUGUAUCGUUUUCUGUAAUUUUUAAUUUUCAAUAAUUUUUAACUAAUAGUAAUUCAAUAAAGUCAAUUAAUUUUUUUGAAAUUUACAAUUUUUUCAUAGAAAACACCAAAAAUACAUCUUUCUGAAACAAUUUUUUUUUAAAAAAAUCUAUAAUUAAGGAAAAGUAUAAAAUAUUGAAGCCAAAUUGGACUCUUAUAACCAUUUUGAACGCGGGUUACGUUGAAAUCUUUGUACUUUUGCAUGUAAAAGAUACCAGAAAACUAGAUUACGUUGAAAGGACCAAAGAUAUGUCCAGGAAGUCGUAUGUUAAGUAACGUAACCCAGUGGAAAAGUCAACGAAAAGUGAUGACCACAUGUGCCUGAUAUUUUUAUUUAACGGGACAAUAUGAUUUUGGAAUAAGUACAUUAACUUCAACUUAACUGCACUUGUAAUAUUUGACUAUUGAGAGUUGUACUUGGAUAGAAAUUUUAUGAUUCUGUCACUGAAUUGCUUAGUGGAUCCUAUUUGAUGCACAAAUAUUCUAAAUGGGCUAAUAUGGUCCAUAUGGUCCAUAUUUAGAUGCAAUUAUAUUCAUCCCCUUCUUGCGACCUAGACCGGACCCCUCUUCCCGACCGAAAGCAAACCCUUUAUAAGUUCUCCACCUAAUUGCUUACACUCUUUGGUACGUCAUGUUUCAUGUUUCAUGUUUCAUGUUUCAUGUUUAUAAUCAUUACUUGAUAUUGUCACUUCAUUGCUAUAAUAAUUUAUUUUAUAUCGUCAAACUCCAUGUGCAAGGUUGUAUUUAGAACCGCUAGGAUACUUCCGAUCUUCUUCUUGGUCGGCUCAGUUUCCAAGUUGUGAUCUAUUUGGUUCGGUGGAAACACAAUGGUAAACACCGUCAGCAACCUCACCACUCUCUAUCUCAGAUUAACCCCGUGAUACGUAAUGGAUUAAGAAAUACGAUUAUAUCUUUUUUUUCUACUUCUAUAGGAAACAACCACGAGGGAUUUACUGAAGUUGUUGCUCUGAUAUUCCUAAAGAUAACAUACUCUGAAUUUAUGUUUUCUUAACACCUCUCUGAAUUUAUAUUAUAAAGUAGUUUUUGAGGCAUAUAAGAGCAUGAUUAUCCCUAAAGUGGGUUUAAAGGUUUCUUAAUUUUUUUUGUCUGAGAAAAAAAAAAUCAAAAAGAAACCAAUCGCGGGCCGCCAUGUGUCAGUGGGACCCGCGAACAGUACAUGAAACCAACAAAAAUUGAUCCUUAUUUGAUCACUUUUGUUACCUGUUUUUUCUGAGUUGUGGGGUCCACCACUGUUUUUUUUGUAAAACCUACCUUAGAAACCAGCGAUGAACAUCGUAUAAGGGUUUUGUAUUUCACCAGUCUCAUUCUUUUAUAGUUUUGAUAUUGCAAAUAUUUUUUAUAUAAUAAAUUUCACAUCUCAAUAAAAAAAUGUAUAUUACCAUCAUACAAUACAAUACAAUAACUAAAAGCCAAAUAUCCUGGGUGUUCAGGUUGUCCACGUUGGACUCAAAAAUCAACCAGUAAAAAAUUGACAUAUCAGCUUCACUCUCAGGUAAUUCCCUGAUUUUUGUCCACGUCACCCACUCUCGACCAUUCGACUUCUUCUUCUCUCUCAUCAGAAUCACCUGCGAGGAAUGGAUCUCUUUCCUCUUUCGAGAGAUUCUGCUUUUACCAACGUGGAGACAAAAAGAAGAACGCAGUCCACACACACCUACCACCAACUUACACUAGAGCGAAAGAGAGAAAGAAACAAACUCUGAGGCGAACGAACAAUUUUCGUUCAAAUUUCUGAGGGCGAGAGAGAGAAUCCUCCAUUGUUACGAUCGAUCAUGCCUCCAUUGGAACAAGUGCGAACGAUAAGCGCUUCAACGGCGAUAAUCUCCACAGUACAUUUCUUCCUCUCUCCCGCUCCGUUUUUUCUUAGAUUAGGGAUUCGUUAGCUGCUAGGUCGAUAGAUUUUGUGUUGACGCCUGAUUUUGCUAUUGUUCUGAACCAUUUCAAGAUUCGUGUGUGGAGAUAUCUUUUCGAUUUAUAGCAUGUUGUUAUGUGGUUUCUUCACAUAUCCAUGAACGCUCUCUCAUAUUUAACUAAAUCCUGCUCCAAUUAUAAAUUGUGUAAAACAGUAAUCAUCACUGGAUUCUUGCUCUUCUUGAUCGGUUUCUGCUCCCUAAUCAUGAUCUCCCAAACUCUAUCAUACCUCAAUUUCUCUGCUCUUGGCCCAAUAGUUCACGGCGAGGUCAAGCUUGACAACAUUCUCUUUGAUGAAAUAUUAUCUGCCAAGAUAUCGGAUUUUGGAGCUCCAAUUGGGCUAUUCCUGCGAAGGUAUGCGUUCUAUUUUUACUUUCUAAUAGCCACACUUUUUCUACUUGCAGAAAACCUUGAUACAAAGUACCAUUGCCACACAUAGACUUAGUUUUUUUUUUUUGUGUUGCUAGAAGCAACUGCCACUUCACCAAGCUGAGUUCGAUCACUUCUGAUUUCAUUACCUGUCCAUAAACCUGUUUUUAAAAUGAGUAGUAUUUUAAAAUUGUGAUGUUGAUUAUAAUCCACUAAUACACCGUCAACCCUUUCAAAACAAGGUCUUUUAAAAUGUCUCCUUUUGCGUCUAAUUGUCUGAAAAAUGUUGCAGUUUGAAUAGGGUUUUAUCAUUUCCAUGGUUUCCCCAUGUAAAUUAAUCUACUAAAGAUUAGCCAUAUUGUGAUCUAAACUAUUUUUUCAUCCUCGGAUGCUGAAGAUUACAAUGUAGGCCAAAUUGGCCAACAAGUCCACAGUGGUGCACCAGGUAUGUCCAUUCCUUACCUUACUUCACUUUCUCUACCAGUUAUGUUUUGGUAUUUACGGUUUAUUGGAUUCGUGUCGGCAGCACGAGGAAAAUCUCAUCACAUUCAUGAUCCGAUGAAAGAGGUUAGGAGGAGAUAGUUCCUCCAGGCACAAACCCUUCAGGCUUUUCAUGUCAUGGCUACUUCCCACACUAAAGUCUGAGCCAAUCAAAGCAGUGGAACCAGUACGAGGCCCCAAUACCUCUCACGGACACGAAGCUGUGCCUCAUCUUGCAGGACCCUUAGGUGUGUCGGAAAAAUAAGAAAAAGAGGCGUAGGAAAACGUAUAUAACACACCCGUGUCUUUACUCUCUCUGACAUGAGAUGUCACUAGAACAUUUGUUCAUGGUAACAACUUAGAGUCAACAUCGAGAGAGACAGAGGAUUGGAGGAAAUGACGGCUGCUCGGGUCUUGGUGGGAUCUCGAAUUAUAGUCCAAAGUCACUUUUCCUACCGGAAAAAAGUAAUAGCUUUACACCCACGUUUUAGGGUUUUAAAUUAGCGUUUCAGUUCUCUGAUCCAUGUUGUUUCCGUAUCUCAGCUGGUGGAGAAAUUGGAGCAGCACAGCUCUUGUCACCUCCUCUAUUUGUUUUUUACAAAAUGAUCCUUUAAAUUUUUUUAUCUCUAUUAUGAAAUUCUUCAAUUUUAGAGAAAAAUAUAGAGGAAUACAUUGAAUAUGGUCUAAGACAUGACCGACGUAAAUGAUCGACGUUGAGAUUUCAGCUUUUAUGAUUCUUACUAUUCCAAUGUUCCAAUAUAAUUUGAAUAUUCCCUUUGUUUUAUAAUAUAAUGGUUUAAAAGUAUUUUUUGUUUCACUAUAUAAAUUGUUUUUAUAUUUCAAUGUAACUUUAUACUUAUUGGAUAUUGUGUGGCCAAUUAAAUUAUGUAAAUUACUGUGUAAUUGAUUAAAUUUAUAUAUAUAAAUAGAAUUAUAUUUUUAUUUACAUAAUAGUUUGUAAAGAAAUAUUUAGUGUAAAUAAUAUCAUAAUUUUAUAAAAUACUAAAAUAAAUUGGGCUGGUUUUCAACUUUCACAAAUAAAAACUUUUAUUUGUAAACUUAGAAAAUAAUAUAUCAAGAAUAUUCUUUUUAGGAGAGAAAAUAGAAAAAUACAUCGGAGACAAAUCCAUCUCUAUUAUGAAAUUUUUCUAUUUAAGAGAAAAAAAAUAGAGGAAUACAUUGGAGAUGGUCUAAGGCAUGGCCGACGUAAAUGAUCGACGUUGAGAUUUUAGCAUUUCUAAUUUUUAAUAUUCUAAUGUUUCAAUAUAAUUUGAAUAUUCCCUUUGUUUUAUAAUAUAUUGGUUUAAAUGUAUUUUUUGGAUAUUGUGUGGGCAAUUAAAUUAUAUAAAUUACUGUGUAAUUGAUUAAAUUUAUAUAUUAAAUGACAAUUUUAUAAAAUAAUAACUUUUAAAUAUUACAUAUUUUAAUUAAAACUAGAGGAUAUACGCUUCAGAUAGAGUAUCCACGUAGUCGAAAAUAAUCGGCUAAUGAGAAACUAUAUUUUUGCCAUGUCACGUCCUAUAUUUGUUUUUACAAAAUGAUCAUUUAACUUUUUAUUUAAACAAUUAUAACCGAAAAUAUUUUUUUAGUGAAAAUAUAUUAUUUAUAUAAAUAUAAUUAUAUUUUUUAUUUACAUAAUAGUUUGUAAAGAAUUUUUUAGUGAAAAUAUAUUAUUUAUAUAAAUAUAAUUAUAUUUUUUAUUUACAUAAUAAUUCGUAAAAAAAAUAUUUAGUGUAAAUAAUAUCAUAAUUUUAUAAAAUACUAAAAUAAAUUGGGUUGGUUUUCAACUUUUACAAAUAAAAAAUAUUAUUUGUAAACUUAGAAAAGAAUAUAUCAAUAAUAUUCAUUUUCAGGAGAGAAAAUAGAAAAAUACAUCGGAGACAAAUCCAUCUCUAUUAUGAAAUUCCUCGAUUUUAGAGAAAAAAAUAGAGGAAUACAUUGGAGAUGGCCUAGGGCAUGGCCGACGUAAAUGAUCGACGUUGAGAUUUCAGCUUUUAUGAUUCUUACUAUUCUAAUGUUUUAAUUUGAAUAUUCCAUUUGCUUUAUAAUAUUAUGGUUUAAAAGUAUUUUUUGUUCACUAUAUAAAUUAUUUUUAUAUUUCAAUGUAACUUUAUACUUAUUAUAUAUUGUGUGGUCAAUUAAAUUAUGUAAAUUACUGUGUAAUUUAUAAAAUUUAUAUAUUAAAUGACAGUUUUCUAAAGUAAUAACUUUUAAAUAUUACAGAUUUUAAUUAAAACAGUAGGAUAUAAGCCUCAGAUAGAGUAUCCACGUAGGCGAAAAUAAUCGGCCAAUAAGAAACUAUAUUUUUGCCUUGUCAUCUCCUCUAUUUGUUUUUACAAAAUGAUCCUUUAACUUUUAACUUAGACAAUUAUAACCGAAAAUAUUUUUUUAGUGAAAUAUAUUAUUUAUAUAAAUAUAAUUAUAUUUUUAUUUACAUAAUAGUUUGUAAAGAAAUAUUUAGUGAAAAUAAUAUCAUAAUUUUAUAAAAUACUAAAAUAAAUUGGGCUGGUUUUCAACUUUCACAAAUAAAAACUUUUAUUUGUAAACUUAGAAAAUAAUAUAUCAAGAAUAUUCUUUUUAGGAGAGAAAAUAGAAAAAUACAUCGGAGACAAAUCCAUCUCUAUUAUGAAAUUUUUCUAUUUUAGAGAAAAAAAAUAGAGGAAUACAUUGGAGAUGGUAUAAGGCAUGGCCGACGUAAAUGAUCGACGUUGAGAUUUCAGCUUUUCUAAUUCUUAAUAUUCUAAUGUUUCAAUAUAAUUUGAAUAUUCCCUUUGUUUUAUAAUAUAUUGGUUUAAAAGUAUUUUUUGUUUCACUAAAUAAAUUGUCUUUAUAUUUCAAUGUAACUUUAUAUUUAUUGGAUAUUGUGUGGGCAAUUAAAUUAUAUAAAUUAUUGUGUAAUUGAUUAAAUUUAUAUAUUAAAUGACAAUUUUCUAAAGUAAUAACUUUUAAAUAUUACUGAUUUUAAUUAAAACUGAUUACAUUUUGAAACAGAUAGAGUAAUCUAUAAACUAGCUCUAUAUAGAUACAAUGACAAAAUUGUAAAGUGGCAUUACCUUGAAUUUCUCUGAUUCUGUGCAUUCCUAAUUGGAAAGAGAUAAUCUACAUCUAAUAUUAUGUUACUCUCAGUAUGUUAGAAAUGGUCGAACCGUAAACCAAUUAAGGAUGAUGUAAGGAAAAAAUAAAGAUGUAUUUCCAGUUAUCACAAAUAUAGAAUCAAUUGACAACAACUUAAUUAUGUUCAGCGUAUGACAACAGAGAAAAGUUUCAAUACCUUCUAAUAUUAUAAUAUCUCACUAUAUUAGUGGCUAAAUCAGUUUUUUCUAGCACAAAUACUCAUCCCAUUCUUGGAGUUUAAGCUUUUCUAUCUGAUGAUAUUAGUAGUUUGAUAAAAAAAAAAAAAACGGUUGAACUGUAUAUUGUAAUUGGAGAAACAUAACAAACAAAAAUCAACAGAAAACUUUUAAGGUAUAUGAAACAAAAACUGAAAAUAGCAAUUCUCUGCAAUUAAAGAAUAAUGCAAUAAAAUUGUAAAAAUAUAAAAUAAAACAAAAAAUAUACACAAAAAGAAAGAUUUAGUGAAAUAAAAUCAUAAUAUAAUUUCCAUAAUUGAUAGUACUCAACUACACUAAAAAGUCUAAAUUUACAACAUACACAGUUUUAUUUACCUCCUUAAACCUAUUAUCUAAUUAAAAUGAUUCUAAAAAAAGUGCUAGCAUGAAGAGUUAGAAAAUAUACGAUAAAAUAUAAUACAUAACGUUAAAAAUACAUUAUCACUGAUCACUAAAAAAUCAUGUUAGUAGUAAUAAAAAUGAAAUGACAACACAUUUAUUAAAAUCGUAGAACGGCACGCAACAAAGUGUUAUUUUAAUAUACAAACUACAAAUUAAUAUGCUCAACGCAAACACACAUAAAAAUGAGACAUCAUAUUUUGAUAUAUUUAAAUAAAUAAUUUUAAAUAUAUUAUAUUUUUGAUAAUUUUAAAAUUACUUGAAAAGAAAUUAAAUUAUUAAAAAAUUAAUAUACAAAUAAAACUAAAGCAAUAUUUUGUAACGUCAAAAUAAUAAAUUAAUAAAAAAAUAUAUUAUGUUAAUAAAAUAGAUUUUAGAUUUUAAAGACUUCUAAUUCAUGUAAUAUUACAAAAUUCAAAAUCUGUUUAUUACAAUUAAUAUUUUACCAUUAGAUAUAUUAAAAUAAUAUUCUAGAUUGAUAUUCAAUUGUCAGUUUUCAACUAUCACACGUAAAAAAUAUAUUAUUAAGUACACUUUUUUUUUGAAAAAGGGGUUUUAUAUUCUAAGUAGGUUAUUGGAGUAGUUUUUCUUUUCGUGAAUUUAUUCGAGAUGAGAUUCCGAUCUUUUAAACUAAGAUAAUUUAUGUUCUAUACAUAAUUAUAUUUUUUUUACAUAACUUUAAAAUCUCGGACUUGAUUCUUCGUAUUUUAUUAGUUAAUUAUGUUACAUACAAUAGAAAUACCUAUUUCAAACUAAAAAUAUAAAAGAAAAAUCAAAUUUAAAAAUUAGUUAUAUGUAAUUUAAUAUGCAAAAAUUCACAUACAAAUAAAAAUGAUAAUUGUAACAAAUUUAAAUAUAUUAUCUGCGCGUAGCACGAAGAAAUGAUCUAGUAAAUCUAAUAUAUAGGACUUCUUUUUCAUUGAUCCUUCUUUUAUAUGAUAUAUUUUUGCUUUUAAUAUUAAUACAUGUAAAUAUACAUAUAACAAAUAACUGAUAUACAUAUUUUUAUAGAUACAUUGUUGUAUAUGAAAACUUCAGAUUAUUUAUAAAUUAUUUUCCAAAUUCAGUCACAAGAUCAUAUAUCUGUUGAAAUCUUUUAUGGACAGGCGUCCUGAACCCCUAUCACACACGCACACAUAUAUAAGUAUCUGAUUAUAUUAAAGGGUAAUCAAAACUCAUUUUUUUUAUAAAUUGAAAUAUUUGUAUGCCUAUCAAAUUAAAGCACCAAAUGUCAACUCUUUUUUUCUCUCUCUAAAACCAACAAGAAGGAAUCAAAACCAAACACAACCUUGGAUUCAGGAUCAUAGGUUUUCAUUUUUAGCAAUUUUAAUUUAGAUUGUGGAUUUUCUAAACAUGUAUUGGCCAAAAUUAGUGUAUGCUCUAAUUCUUUGUGUGUAUAAAUAAACCCACUUUUCAACUAAUUCACACCAAAAUAAAUAAAAAAUAAGAAGGAUCAAUCAUAUUCCCUGAAGAAGAGAAAAUGAAGGCGUUUGUGAUAUUAAUGUUGGUGAUUUGUGCUGCUGUGAUUGUGGAGCAAUCAGAUGCUAAAAAAAUCCAUAAAUAUAUAAUUAUCGACAAAUGCCGCCUUUUUAAUCUUCCCCCGGGAUGUCAGAUUCCUCAUGGACCUCCUGUCCCUGCCAACAAAUACCGUCGUGGUUGCUCUGCAAUUUUUCGGUGCCGAGGCGGGACAUAAAUCUCACAGGAUUUCUUUUUGAUUGAUCCUUCUUUUAUAUGAUAUCUUUUUGUUUUUAAUAUUAAUACAUAUAUAUAUAUAUAUAUAACAAAUAACUGAUAUACAUAAUUUUAUAAAUACAUUGUUGUAUAUGAGAACUUCUGAUCAUUUAUAAAUUAAUUUUCCAAAUUCAGUCACAAGAUCAUAUAUCUUUUGAAAUGUUUUAUGGACAGGCGUCCUAAACCCCUAUCACACACACGCACAUAUAUAAGUAUCUGAUUAUAUUGAAGGGUAAUCAAAACUCUUUUUUUUUUUUUUUUUUUUUUUAAAACAAAAAAAAUUUUUUUUUUUUUUUUUUUUUUUGAACACAACUUUCAUUAAAAACUUAAAGUCUCGGACUACAAGAAUUCAUAGAGCUACAUACAUAAAACCAUACAACACAAACGAUAGAUUUAGAGAAACCUCUAAGAUAAAGAGACAGCGAAUUCAUAGCAAAGCUUGAAUGCGUCAAAUUAACGGCAGAGCCGAAAGGUUGAAAUUUAGUCACAUUGAAAAGUGACGUUGAUAUCCAAUCCGCACCUCAGAAUAUCGUCGAAACGAGAUCCGCUGCAUCUUCAGGCCCCGAACGGACCGCUCCACAAGAUAGCAAGACGGUUAUAGACUUGGAAAUACACCUUCGCACAUGGGCAGAAGGGGAAACACUUCUUCGAGAGAAGGCAGGUGAUGAUGAUGAUGAUGAUGGUGAUGAGUAUG
rnacentral:lncRNA from 1 species